UACUCUCAUACUUGAACUGUCAAUCAAACCUCAAUCCUCUCUUUCAACUAUGGCUGCUUCCACAAUGGCUCUGUCUUCCCCAACCUUCGCCGGCAAAGCCGUGCAACUUUCCCCGGGAGCCACCGAGCUUUUCGGAAAUGGAAGAGUCUCCAUGAGGAAAACUGCUACCAAAAAAGUCUCCUCUGGCAGCCCAUGGUACGGCCCUGACAGGGUCAAGUACUUGGGCCCAUUCUCAGGCGAGCCCCCAAGCUACCUCACCGGCGAGUUCCCCGGUGACUACGGCUGGGACACCGCCGGACUCUCAGCUGACCCAGAGACCUUCGCCAAGAACCGUGAGCUCGAAGUGAUCCACUCCAGAUGGGCCAUGCUCGGAGCUCUUGGAUGCGUUUUCCCAGAGCUCUUGUCCCGCAACGGUGUCAAGUUCGGCGAAGCCGUGUGGUUCAAGGCCGGAGCCCAGAUCUUCAGCGAGGGCGGUCUCGACUACUUGGGAAACCCUAGCUUGGUCCAUGCACAGAGCAUCUUGGCCAUCUGGGCUACCCAAGUGGUGUUGAUGGGCGCAGUUGAGGGAUACAGAAUUGCCGGCGGACCCCUCGGAGAGGUGACCGACCCUCUUUACCCCGGAGGAAGCUUCGACCCGUUGGGCCUUGCCGAUGACCCAGAAGCCUUUGCUGAGCUCAAGGUGAAGGAGCUCAAGAAUGGAAGGUUGGCCAUGUUCUCCAUGUUUGGAUUCUUUGUCCAGGCCAUCGUCACCGGAAAGGGACCAUUGGAGAACCUUGCCGACCACCUUGCCGACCCGGUCGCCAACAAUGCCUGGAACUAUGCCACAAACUUCGUUCCCGGAAAGUGAGAGCUCGGAAUUGUUUUGUACUUUUGUUUGUAGUGUUGUCGGUGAUGUAAAUUUGGUACCAAGUAAUGGACAACAAUUGAUUUGAACUAUUUCGAUCUUUUCGCUUUUGAACAAUCUAUUAAUUGGUCGAAAUUCGUACCAGAAAACUUUGAAAUAUUGCCUGCUAGGGCAAAGCAAAACUGAACUGAGAAAUGCAAUUGGAAGAUAUGAACUAUGAGAUUACAUGGUUCAGAUUCACCUAAAACCUUUCCUUCAAAAGACCUCGGUGCAAUUUAAGCGAAAAUCUACCCCUUAAUAACAAUCAUUUCUAACACAGGCUACAACGUGUGGCAAUUGUAUUUGAUCCACAAUUUCUAACACAGGCUAUCUUAGACAUGUAGGGGGGAUGGGAACGAUUCGAUUUGGAAACGGAAAUGCCAUAUCCAUCCUCAUAACCAUGAAAAUUAACCAUCCUUACUCCCUAGGUAAUAGGCAGGAUCCAAAUAAAUUUGUUCCGAGUCUACGAGCAAUGCGAGCUCAGAUACUCUGCUUUUAAGAAGAAAAUGAUACAAUAAUUAGAAGAAUAAACAUGAUUUUGAAUAUUUAUUUGCUUCAUAUCUCUUGUAUAUUUUGCGUGGAGAUAUUUAUGUAUUCAAUUAAUAUGCCCGAAAGGUAUACGAGUUUUGUAAUUAAAUUAAGAACCUAGUAAUUAGUAUACAACUAAACUGGUUUUAUGAACAAAUAAAUGGUGAUCGAAUGUAAAAGAAUGAACAAUUUGUCGAAGGCGCAUCGAUUCUUAAAACCACCUCUGUCGCUUCGAGCAUUUAAUUUAACAUUUGCAGAACUUGAAAACAUUCAAUCUCAAGCUUCUGGUGUGCUCGCUAGUCAGAUAACUUUCGUUCAAAACAUGCAUCCAUAUAUCGACCUUACCUGUCCGAGCGCCAACUUGCCAGAGACGAAGCCACAUUUGUUUCGCUAAAAAAAGCACAGACGUGCCUUACAUAGCAAGGUAUCAUAAAGCUUUAAGCGUGAGCGACAGCCCUUGCUCUGGCCAGAGACUUGGAGUAGAGUUCUUCGUACCGUGAUGCAGAAGUAUCCCAACUGAAAUCUAUAUUCAUGACCUUCUGAACAAGCUGCUGCCAACUAUCCGGCUUAUUCAUGUAGAGGGCGAAUGCACGUCCCAAGGCCCCGUUGAAUCCCUGUGGCGUUUCCAAGUCAGGAUACAGUAAAUCAUGGACAAGAAAAACUAGAAUAACAUACUGGAGGGGAGAAAAAUCACAACACGAGGAAAGGAUCUACGAUCAAAUUGCAAGCCUUGAGCACCAAUGCCAGAUCAAAAACGAAAGAAAAGGAAAGAAAAGGAAAGAAGAAUGUAUAUGGAUGGGCUUUACCUGUUCGUUAGGAGUCAAGAAUGAAUAUCCAUUCCGAAACUGAAGAGGUACGGUGUCGUCAUCAACAUCAAAAACACUGCACAUUAAGUAUUUUAGGAGUUAAGGUUCCUCUAGAAGGAAUAACCUAAAUCGCUAGUAGAACGGAUAAAAUAGGUCAGGCAGUGGAUACUCACCUAUCAUUUAGACCACCAGUUUUUCUUACAAUGGGUAUAGAACCGUAUCUCAUGGCUAUCAUCUGCCCAAGAAAAAGCACAAGUUAAUCCAGCAUGAUGUAGCGAGUAGUGUGCUGAAGUUUUGCGCAGGAAAGAGAACAGACUUUACCUGUGUAAGUCCACAAGGCUCAAAGAUAGACGGGAUGAUGAACAUAUCAGAAGCAGCAAAAAUGGCAUGGGAAAGAGAGUCGUCGUACUUCAAUAUCAAACGAACAUGAUCAUGAUUCUCAAAAUGGCUUGCAAGACCCUCAAAUUCGCUCUACAAUAGCAAACAACACAACAAAAAACCUUUCAGUUAUAGAUUAGAUCAUCAGAUAAUGAAGAGACUACUAAGUAUUUACAUCUACCGGACGGGAGAAUCCAGCGUAUUUAUAACUUCAAUCAAUUUGAAACAUUUAUAUCCAUUUGUUAAUUAAAUAAGCAUGACAAACAAACAAUAAAGAACACGAUAUUAAAUUGGACUUUUCUAUCGCUUUGGACUUGAACUCAGAAUCUUAGCAAUAUAUUGGAUUAGAGAAUAGGUAUUAUGUUUGAUACUGCUUUCAACUUAGCGAUACAUUAAUAUGGUUAGAGACAACAGAGAUACAUUCCCUGCUUGAGCAUAAAAUAACAGCGUAAUUUUCUAACAGUAACGAACAUAGCCAGGAUAUAAUAUCAAAACGGAAGAUAGAGCAGUGCCUGAAUAUGAUGCACUGGGCUAGAACCCAGAAGUACAAACUGUCCUCCGAGCUCCAAUGUUCGAUAUAUCGCAUGUCUGAUAAGAUGUACACCUUUCUGUGGCACCAAUCUUGUUAUGCAGCCCACCUAUUAAAGGAUUGAUCAAACAAUUUCAAUUAAGUAUUCACUCAUCUGGAUUACCGAAAAUAGAAUAAUGAUGCCAUUUUAUAGAGUACCAGAUAUGAUUCCAAGUGCAGAGAAAAUUUAACAGAAAAUGAAAUUACCAAUGGCCUCUUGACAUCUGCCGAAGAAAGCCCCAGAGUUCUUCUUAAAGCUUCCUUAUUUUCUGCUUUCCCCUGACGAUCAUUAGCACUGUACUGUACUUUGAGAUACGCAUCAGUGGCAGGAUUCCAUGCAUCAGCAUCAAUACCAUUUAGAACUCCAUUGAACUUCUUAGAAUGAAAAUUUAGUGUUGAAUGGAGACCGUGUCCUCCCUGUGAUCAUAAAUAAACAACUAUUUUUUUACAAACGGAAGUUCAAGAAUUCAAAAAAUUGGCUAACUACACAAAACUUUUCACCCAUAGCAUCUUAAUCAAUUUCAAGGCUGUCUGCAGUAAAGUUAUUUUGACUGUCACGAAAGUCCAAAACAGAGACUGUGUCUAUGAUGUAUUUUUUACAUGAGUAGGGAAGAGAUAUAUUGUUCUCUUUUCUCAUCUGUGAAGUGUACUAAUGCCCAAAAACAGAAUAAAAGUGGGAUGUUGAGUAUCCAACAUGAAGAACCUUUUGAUUAGGAGCCACAUAAUUUACUAGAGGUCCAACAACUGAUGACUUCUAUAUCAAAGCUCUCUUAGAAAAGCACAAUUUUGAAAUUUUUUCUUUCAUCUGAAGAGGCCAACAUCAUGUCAACACAAAUCCACAAACAAAAUCAUACACUUAGAUGUUGAUAUCUCUAACGUGUGUGGAAUCUGGAUUACUAUGUAUACAAGAGAGACAUAUUUACACAAUUUAUGACGGAAACUUACAUUUGGUGAAAAUUAUUAGAUUCUCCAAAAUCAAAUGUUAAAAGGAAACAAUGCCUAUAGGCUGGGUCGGGGCAAGAAAUUUGAAUUUGAAUCUGAUAUCUAUAGGAAACUGUUAGUAUGAGCAAAAGCCAUACCUCAGCAGUCAGCACCUCUUGUGCAUAGGUGGGUGAUACUGUUGUCACGAUAUUAGAGAAUACAACUGCACCCUUAAAGAGAGAAGUACAAAAAUGAUAAUGGAAUCAGGAAAGCUUUUGCCAACUCCCGAAAUGCUGGUAAUAAAUGAAUCAACAAUUGCUAUACCUUAACAGCAUUGAUCCUAUCAUGUGCUGAGUUGUCCUGCAUUCUAUCUGGUCUAUUUAGCUGGUGGACAUCAAGACCACAAGAUGCCAAUUCUGAAGCAGGUGCAGUCCCUUGGUAUUCAAAGUUGUGGCAUGUAAAACAUAUUCUAGCUGAGUUCAAUCCAUUUGGCGCAUAUAGGUCCCAGUAAAGUGGAGCCUAAGAACAGCAACAAGUUAAGAGAGAGAGAGAGAGAGAGAGAGAGAGAGAGAGAGAGAGAGAGAGAGAGAGAGAGAGAGAGAGAGAGAGCAUGGUAAAGGAAAAUGAAGGUUUAAGGGUCCAUACAACAAAAGCUGUCUGCCAAUCAUGGCAGUGAAUUAUGUCUGGUUGCUUGCCAGAUUGAAGAAGCAACUCAAGGGCUGCACGACUGAAAAAGGAAAAUCGCUUGAAAUCAUCAUGUUCCCCAUAAAACCGUCCUCUCCAGAAAAACUUAUCAGGAUGCAGAGGCUCAAUAAAAUAAACAGGAAGACCUGCAUAAUCAACACCAGAGUGAGCAUCCAAGACUACAGUAAGAAUCCAAGACAAUAAUAUGUCAUGCAAACGAAACUUUCAAUGUACAAACCUUCAACAGUGCCAACCCAGACUUUAUUUUUGAAUAGUCGACCGUCAAAGUAUGACUCUAACACCAGAUCUAGGGCCUGCAUGUUAAAGUGUAAUGAAACUCAAGUAGAAAAUGCAUCUUUUCUAAAAUUAAUUAACUAUUCAACGUACCCUUAGGUCAGGAACACGAUCGUACUGCAUGCAGUCAUAUUUGGGAAGAACAAUUUCCACAAGGUGUCCCUUCUUCUGCAGUGCUUUACCAAGACCAGCCACAACAUCCCCCAAACCACCAACCUGUAAAAUUAACUAGUUAUGUUGAUGGUAUGUUUAUCAAAACAAAAUGGAAGAUCUUUGAGAUGUCCCUAUACAUUUAGACAUGAAUAUUAAACAGUGUUCAACAAAUUCCUGAAUCUGAACUACUGUAAUAAAAGUAAUUAUAGCUUAACAAGUAAGAAACCCCGCUCAAUUAUCUUAAUAGAAUAAAGCAAAGAAAGAUAAAAAUUUAUAGAGGCAAGCUGAACUCACCUUAGCAACUGGUGCCAUCUCUGCUGCAAUAUGAACGACAUGCAAUCCUGGACUAAAAAAUCAACAAACUCACAGAUUAAAUAAAAGCCUAAACACAAAAAUCAACAAACUAGCAAUAUGAACGACAUGCAAUCCUGCAUUCUUCUAAUACUAGAAAGUUCAUACCUUGUUUGUGAUGAUAUCAGUUUGAGAAAUGUAGACACAGCGUCAUGCUCGUUCUUUUCCUUGCAGGCCAUGUAUGAGUCAUGAAUUCGUCUCUCUCUCUUCCAAACCAUUUCUCUCAAUACCUGAGCAUCAUCAAUUGAUAUUUUGUUCUCAAACAACCAACCAUCGAUCAUAAGCAAUAAACGACUCCAAAAUUCCCAUGGCAUAUCAUCCACAGGUUCAUCAACUGCCCUUCUCUUGCUUUCUUCUUUUAGAGUAUUUAGUGUAUCUUGAAAUUCCUCCACAGAUUCUUGAUAUAAUUGAACAUAAGAAUGUAUCUCUUCGUCAGAUCUUUGAAGCCGGUCCUCCAUAAGUUUUAUUUUCUGUUGCAUCAGCUCAUUAUAUCGUUGCAUCUUUUCUGAUGACUCUCUAUAGACAUUAGCUGUUUCAAGAGAUUCUUCUAAUUUAUCAACUUUCUUUUGAAUCUCUUGGUUCUGCUGUAAAACUACAAUAGCUUGAUCUGCCUGUUUGGUUGACUUAUCUAGCAGUAGCUGCAAAUUCUCCACCUUCUCCCAUAAUCCUUUGCAUUCAACUUUAAGAUUGGAUAGUUUGGACACUUCUUCCUGAGAAACUGACAAUUUCGAUUCCAACUCUUUCAACGCAGACUCUAAAGUCGACCGUUGAUUUUCCAGCAUUACCACCCGUUCAUCCGUAUUCUUCACAUAGCUAAGCUCCUCCCUGAGUGCUUCUACAUCAUUCUUUAGGGAUUGAUUUUCCAAUCUCAAUGCAUUCAGAUUGGCAACAAGAGCAUUGAUGCUAGUUCUGUAUGGUAGAGGAGCUUCUUCGUUAAACAGCUGGUCUUCAUUCUCAAAAAUCUCCACCUGACCUCUUUCAACACCACCGUCACCAUUGAGAUUCAGUUCAUUCCGCAUCUUAUCUAACUGGUUUUCCAAAAGUUCCACCUUUAUUUUUUCCUGGGCAGCUACUCUAAUCCGCGCAUCGGUCUCUGCCAAUCUCAUCUCCAAAGCAUUCAUCUGUCCUUGCAAUGCCUCCUUCUCACCGAGAAUCUUGUCAAGGUCUUCAAGCGCAUUAACCCGCGCCCGGUUGAGAAGAUGGAUAUCUAAGGCCACAAAAGAGAUAUACAUGUUUCACAAAUCUAAUAAAUGAGGAAUAAACAGUAAGGCCUGUUUGGGACUGCUUAUAGGAUGCUAAAAGCACUUUUGACCAUGUUUGAAAGAAAACUUAGAAACACUUAUACAUAAAUCAAGUGCUUUCUUAUCAUAAAAGUGGUUUCUUAACUGCUUUCCAUAAAGCACUAGAAUUUCUAAUAGAAAAUUCGAAGUUUUCAAAUAAAGGAGCUAGAAGUGCUUAUGCACGAAAGUGCUUCUUACAAAAGCAGUCCCAAACGGACCAUAAUUGAAGGCAAAUGAACAGGGCAGAGUAAUAACCUACUUUUCUCUGCAUUUCUAAUCAUGCCAACCAAAUCCUGAGUAUUAUACGCCUGUAAAGCCAACAAGCAAUCAAACUCAUAACAAUAAUUUAAUAAUUAACACGAACUCUUGAGUGUUGAUAAGCAAAGAUGAAGAGUUACCGAAGGAUUUGCUUGAUCAGACGGAGUUAAAGUUGUCAAAAUCGAAUCGUUUCCAUUGGCAGUGGGAGCUUCGUGAUCAGAUACGCUUUCAAUGGGGACGAUGACGCCCGCCGAAGAAGCACCGUCAGAUUCGGAGUCGUCGUUGCCAUUGAACCGGAAAUCUGUAGUCGUCGAAGGCUGUUCAACCGAGCCUUUCUUCCUUAGUCUAUGCCUCUUAUUCACGCAAUUGCAACUUCAAAAGUCGAAGUCGAAUCAAAAUUAUCAUCAAUCACUCGAUCAAGCAGAUUGAAGUUUGAGAAUUUGAUCGAUAAACGAUUUCAGAGAGAAAGAGAGGAGGGAGAGAGAGAGAGAGGAGGGGGAAGGUACCUGAGAUUACGGUGCCGGGGCUUGCAGGAAGAAGCAGGAGAGCAGUGAAACGAAAAGCGAGCGUUUGAAUAUGAGCGGUGGCGGGAGGUGGAGUUGGAGCCGGUACUGCUGAGCCCCUGGGUGACGAACCAGGUCGUUAGUCUGACCGCCAUUGAUGAUCAACUCAAGCUUUCUCUCUCCUCUUUCGGUGGAGAGAGAGAAGAAGAAGUGGUUUCUUUGGCACAACGACUAACAGUCGUUUUAUCGUACGACUCGGGGGCGAAUAUAAGCAGAGGAUGUCUCCCGUCCAAGGAAAGUAAUCGAAUAUUCUAACUUUUUUACUUUUCUAUUUUUUAUUAAUCAUUCUGUUGGAAUUAAUAAAAAUAAAAAUAAAAAUAAAAAUUGGAUUAGUAAGCGAAUGAGGAUGCUCUUUGUGAGGAUACGAAGAUUUUUAAAUCGUGUCCAUUUAUUGUAUACUGUAUAGUUAAUUUUUUUCAUGUACUAUUUAUAUUUAAUUUUACAUAAAAAUAUUUAAAAUAAUUUUUAUCUACAUAAUGUACGAUGAGACACAAUUUAAAAAAUUUUUAAAUCCCCAUAAAAAGAAUCCGGAAAGCAUCCUCUUCCUUUGUAAGCAAUAUUAAGGAGGGUGAGGUGUAGAAUGUAGAUGGAAACCGAGGUGAGUGAGUCACCUUAUCUAAAUCGAACGGUGAUGGGGUGUGGGCCAAGGUCCAUAACAGGUGGGCCCUUCCACAAAAAAUUUCUUAUGAUAAAAACCUACCACGAAAUUUGGAAGUUGGAUAAUUGAAAGCGAAUAAGUUGGGAAGUUCGUUUCUAAUGGAUGAAGUUCUUAAUAUAUCUUUAGAUUUAAUAGAAAUAAAAAAGAUGGCGUUAGUAAAAAUGAUAAUAGUGCAACACAUUGUAAGUUUGAAGAUUAAAUAAAUUAAAAGUAAAUUACAUAGUAACCCCUUAGGUUUGAGGUCUAUUACAACUCCAUACAACAACUUUAAAACAUUUCAUUUUCAUACAUCCAGUACCAUUUUAUUUCAAAAUAACACCUCCGUUAGAUUUUCCAUCCAUUAGUCUGUUAAAUGCUGACGUGGCUACCACAUUUGUGCUGAUGUGGCUGCCACGUGGCAAAAAAAGAUAUUUUUUUAUUUUUUAUUUUAAAAAAAAUCUAAAUCUUCUAAAUAUUAAAAUUAUAAAAAAUAAAUAAAUAUUUUAAAAAAAAAAAACUAGAAAAUCCCGAAACCCAGAUCCCUUCCUUACCCCCCACCCUUCUGCAACUCCCAAAAUCCUCUCUUCUCCUCGCAACCCCAAAACCCAUAUCCGCCAUCUUCAUCUUCUUCCCUGAAAACCUAGAAAUGAUAACCCCCCACCCCACCCCACUCGCGUCCCCCACCCCAAAACCAAAAACCCAGAACACCCCUUCCCCACCCACGACCCUCCCUGUGCACCCCCUAACCCACGACCCUUCCUCCCUCCGCACCCACCAUCUUUCAUUCUCUACACACCCCCACUCUCCUCUACACACCCCCCACUCUCUACACACCCCCAUCGCCGACCCAAUUGCUUCUUCUACCACCACCGCCACCGCAAACAAUCAAGACAUCAGCUUGCUUUAAGUUAUGUACGCCAUGGAAGCUGCGGAGGCCACAAUCAAGCAGCAGGUGGAAUACAACAUUCGGUUACGGGCUCAGCUCGAAUACAAGAUUCUUGAGCUGCACAGGUACAAGCUCCACGAAUCCAUGGCCGCCCAAUUGCCGCAUUCCGCCCGCGAAUCUCAGGACCAAGCUCAUCAGGUAGCUGCCGCUGGCGUCUACAAUCGAAUCGAGAGGAUUGCGAAUCACGGUUCGUCAUAGCAGAGUCGUGGGGAAUCGAAAACAAGAGAGACCCAAUUGGGCAGCAGCGAAAUCAAUGAAGGUGGUUCGGGUUUUUGGUACUCCAACGGCGGCUGAUAACGCAAGCAAUGGGAUAUCGAGAUUGUCAUCGCCGUCUACGAUGACGUCGCUUUCACCAGGCAGGUCGAGCAUGGAGGGGGAUUACGGAAAUGGGUUGAUGCCAUUGACCGAGUCGAACAACCCUAAUAGCAGAAUGUUGAAGAAGGAUCUGGUUGUUAGGGUUCAUAAGCACGAUCAAGAAAUUAUGCAAUUGCGAAAGCAUUUGGCGGAUUAUUCGAUCAAAGAGGCGCAAACUCGGAACGAAAAGUAUGUGCUGGAGAAGCGCAUUGCAGGUUGUGGGUGGGUUGCGGGUUCAGCUUGAAUUUGGUUUUUGGUUUUGUUUUUUUUUAUUUAGAAGAUUCAAGUUUUUUUUUUAAAUUAAAAAAUUAUUAUUUUUGCCACGUGGCACACAUUUGGCAGCCACGUGGCACAAAUGUGGCAGCCACAUCAUCACUUAACGGAUCAAUGGAUGGAAAAUGUAACGGAUGUAUUAUUUUGAAAUAAAAUAGUACUUGAGGUAUGAAAAUGAAAUGUUUUAAAUAUGUUGUAUGGGGUUGUAAUAGACUUCAAACCUGAGGGGCUACUAUGUAAUUUACCCAUAAAUUAAUAUGAGAUUUCAGAACCUAAAUGCAAAUUUUUUAUCUGUAUAUAUAAAUAGACAAGAUAAAAUUGAUCAAGCUUUCGUAAUAGUCAAAUUACCUUUCUCUCAUUAGAAUUAAUAAUAAUAAUAAUAAUAAUCACAAAAAACCACACACAUAGUGAAAUUGUGGUCGGUUACGUUCAUUAUUUUCUAAAUAUAUUUUAAUAAAAUUAGUAAUAUUAAAAAACAAUAAAAGAGUAAAAAAAAAAAAACAAUUACCACGUUGGAGUGUGACAGGAGACUAGUCUAUAUAUAAAGUUAGCAUUUUUUUUGUAUCUCCUAUAAGAGCAGCUCCACCAGAGUUGAUAGCCAUGUGGACAGGGGACCAAUUCAACCUAAUCCCUUCCCUUCCUUGCUCCAGCCUAUGAGGGCGAUUGGGCUAAAGGGGGCUCGUGUGAGAGGGGAGGUAGGAGUCCAAAGCCUGAGCGCUUGAGGCAUGUCUGAUGCAAAGAUGACGUCAAGCACGUUAUACAUUUUGUUUGCAUAAGGCGCGUGCAUCACAUGUGCGUGUGGGGGCGCGUCACCGACUAGAUUUCAGUCAGUGGGACCCGCAGUUUGAAUUCUGAAACGUUACUUUGUGGGUGCCACGUGGCAACCUCAAGGCUGUUGGAUUUCAAUAGAUACUUUUUUUGGACCAUUGGAUUUCCAAUGGUAAAAAAAAAUAUUCAAACCUCCCCCAACGACUAGAUGAUAUGGCACAAUCUCAGUUGUUGGAUUUCAGCUCAACGGUCCACGUUAUUUGCCUUUAAAAAUUUCAAAAAAAAAUCAGAUAUAUUACCGUUGUGCCACGUGGCACAAUCUGGAAGGUUGGAUUUCAAUUUUUCUUUAAUCCAACAACAUAAAUUAAUUAAGUUAAUAAAAAAUGUAAAAAGUUAUUUUUUAUUAUUUUAUAAAAUAAAAAAAUACUAAUAUUUUAUUGUCUAUUACCAUGACUAUUUAGUUUAGAGGUGGAGAUGCAAAAGAUAAUUAUUGUUCAUUAAAGGUAAUUACUAUUCACUGGAAGGGAUUCAAUAGGCAGUUGCCCUCAGGGCCUUCCAACACUAGAAGUUCUCUAAGUAAAGUUAGCACCUUAAAAUAAUAAAUUUUUCUAUAUCUAUACAAAGAAUGUCUCUCUCUAAUUAGAAUGUUAAAAUAAAAGUAUUAAUUUAAAAAAUUACUUAAGGAUUCUGAAAAAUAAAAGAUUCCAACAUAGUGGGCAUUAUUUCUUUGAAAUUUAAAAUAACUAUGAAAUCAAUAUUUUAAAUAAAUUACAAAAUAAAUUUGAAAAACUCAAUUAUCACAUGAGUUAAUCGGUGACAAGAGGCUAGUUUUAUAUACACCAUAUAUUAACAAUAAUCAUAACUCAAACUUUUAUUCACGAUUUAACUCAAAUUUAUGAAAUUUAAGUUGACCACUUUUUUUAUAUUUUAUUUUUUUGCACAAAAUUUAUGUUGAUUAUUACGAUUGGGAAAUUGUUACUCUUUCCACAAGCUGUGAUCAGCAAAGCCACUGACACUCCUGAUGAACAAAUCCACCAAUUACCCAUCUUUUUCUUUGCGCUUCUGCUCCUCCUCCUGCCGUUCCGCCGUCCAAUCUCCGCCUGCUCAGCCGUCGCAGGACCCCGCCACCUUCAUAGCCUUCCUGCAACACGCGCCCGACCCCACAAAACACACACUCUGAAACACUGUUCACUGCGCGCUUCCUGUUUUACCCCUGCCAAGUUUGCAUUAUUACAUUUCUUCUUGCCUCCAAGCAGGCAGCCAUUUUGCUCCGGAUCUUUCACAUUGAAAUUCCUCUCCUUCUACCUUUGCAUGUUGAAUUUCACAUCAACAGCAUCUCCCUAUAAGCUAGGAGCUUUGUUCUGUAAAAGUUCUAGUGAAUGACAAUGAGUGUUUGAUAUUACUUGAAUGACAAGUAACUUGUUUAUGGGUUAUUUGUUAUAAAAGUGAUAUAGUUGAUCUCCAACUCAUAAGGAUUAUGGAGUCUGAUAUUCAUGCAGCUAACUUGAUCAAAUCCUGAUAAGGGUUUAAUGCAAAGAUAUUGAAUCAUGAUAGGACUCUUUCAUCAUUUAGAUGAUAAGGGUAUGCGACCGUUGAUAGGCCGAUGGCGUAACCCUAACUGAUAUAUAUAUAAAUAUAUGAAGUUGUAGUCCGUGCUCCCAUACGUGAAAAACCCUAAAUAUUGCUUAAACCUAUUCACACAGUAAGGGAGCUAUUGAGUAGUGGGAGUAUAAGACUGACUUGCGUUACAAUCAUGGCAUAAAAUACAAGUAGGUGUUCCUGCAAUUAAUUUUUGAUAUACACUACUAUAUAUUCUGUAUGAGUUAGUUGUAUUGUAACCCUAGUACCUAGUUGUUGUAGUUUGGCUUAUGAGUUUUAUAUAACUGCUUACAUGUUCGGCUUCAAGCUUUCCGACGGUAAUUGGACGAUUCCUCAAACGCCCGCCAUCAAGGUUAGUCUCAAACUAUUCCUACCUUAUUGACCUUUUGCAUCUCAAAAUAUGCUUCAAAUUUGUGAUUUAAUAUAAUUGGGCUUUAGUCUAAUCCAAUUUAACGAUAAGAAAUUCCAGCUGGGGAUGGGACUGCAAUUUCAUCUGCUCCAAACAAAUAGAUUCCUUUUAAUCUGAAUUUAGAGAAUUAUAUUUGAAUUUUUUUUAUAUAUGUGAGCUGCUUUUCUAGGAUUUUGUCUUAAAGAGUUCAUCUUGAUCAUACACACGAGUCUGAUAUUAUCAAGUAAGAUGCCCAAGUCCUCUUGCAUUCAUAUAAUUACAUUUGUGAGCUGCUUUUCUGGGUUUUUGUGACAUAUGAAGCAGGCUCUUGUAUAUUACACUAAAAUAAAAUUGUCUAUUUUUCUAUUUUCCCUUAAAAAAUGGAAGGUAGAAAAAAAUAAUAUAUAUUGGCUUAUUAUAUUAGCAUCCCACAAAUUGUUGAAUAAACCUCACAUACUUAAUACACCCCACAUUUUCUUUUUCAAUUAAAAAUUAUUUUAAUACACCACACUUCCUUCCUCAUAAUACCCUCACACCCCACAUUCUUAAUAUACACCUUACAUUUUCUACAUAAACCCCACAUUUUUUAUAUACCCCACAUUUCUAAAAUCUUAUAACACUCAUUUUUAAUUUUGCCGAAUGAUUUCAAAGUAUCUGAACGUUAGUUUGCCGAAUGAUUUCAAAUUGAAUACAACAACAACAACAAAGCCUUUUCCCACUAAGUGGGGUCGGCUAUAUGAAUCCUAGAACGCCAUUGCGCUCGGUUUUGUGUCAUGUCCUCCGUUAGAUCCAAGUACUCAAGUCUUUUCUUAGGGUCUCUUCCAAAGUUUUCCUAGGUCUUCCUCUACCCCUUCGGCCCUGAACCUCUGUCCCGUAGUCACAUUUUCGAACCGGAGCGUCAGUAGGCCUUCUUUGCACAUGUCCAAACCACCGGAACCGAUUUUCUCUCAUAUUUCCUUCAAUUUUGGCUACUCCUACUUUACCUCGGAUAUCCUCAUUCCCAAUCUUAUCCUUUCUCGUGUACCCAUACAUCCCAUGAAGCAUCCUCAUCUCCGCUACACCCAUUUUGUGUACGUGUUGAUGCUUCACCGCCCAACAUUCUGUGCCAUACAACAUCGCUGGCCUUAUUGCCGUCCUAUAAAAUUUUCCCUUGAGCUUCAGUGGCCUACGACGGUCACACAACACGCCGGAUGCACUCUUACACUUCAUCCAUCCAGCUUGUAUUCUAUGGUUGAGAUCUCCAUCUAAUUCUCCGUUCUCUUGCAAGAUAGAUCCUAGGUAGCGAAAACGGUCACUUUUUGUGAUCUUCGCUAGAUUGCUCCAGUCAUUAGUGUGGAUAAGUAUAUAAAUGGAUAGAGAUAGGAAAGCAAUCACAAGAUGUACGUGGUUCACCCAGAUUGGCUACGUCCACGGAAUAGAGGAGUUCUCAUUAAUUGUGAAGGGUUUACACAAGUACAUAGGUUCAAGCUCUCCUUUAGUGAGUACAAGUGAAUGAUUUAGUACAAAUGACAUUAGGAAAUAUUGUGGGAGAAUGAUUUCGUAACCACGAAACUUCUAAGUACUGGAGUGUGGUAUCGUCUUGACUUUCCUUAUCUGUCUCAUAGGUAGAUGUGGCAUCUUCUCUGGAAGUACUCUUCCUCCAUCCAGGGGUGGUAUCUGUAACUGGUGGAGAUGCACAAGGUAAUGUAUCAAUGUUCACUUGAAGCUUACUUGUAGUUUCAGGCUUGGUCAAGCGCGAUACAAACCAUGUAGUAGGAGUCCCCCCAAGUCGCCGAGCUAGGGGAUCUGCUGAAAGAGGUGACAGACAAGGUAAGCAAUCAGAGCUCCGGCUGAUUGUUCAUAUUCUCCCUAUCUUGCAGGCAGCAUGAAGGAUAAAGAGAAGAAAAAUGAGAAGAGAUGAUAUGGGAUACUUUUGCUUUUGAAGAAGUAACUUUCCACAGGCUUAUUCUUGAACUGGGCUGGAGGGUUUUCUGGUUUCCUCCAGAGAUAAGGCCGACUGAAGAAUUUGAGGGUCAAAACAAGUCCAUCAAAUCUAGAGUACGUUCGACCCUGCUGAUAUGGGAUACUUUUGCUUUUGACAGAGUAAUGGAUGUAUCGGCACGUGUGCUGUUACGCUUGUCUCCACAUGCUUCCUUGUAUCCUUCUCACUUGCCCUAUUUGUUCCUCAGGCAGAUGCGGGAUCUUCCCUGGAAGUAUAAGAUGUUGAAGAUGAGUACUCGAGAGCAAUGCCAGGUAAGUAAUCAGGUAAGGGGUUCCAGGCAGUCAGUUCCUGGCUGGAAGCUUGAUUCCAAGUGCUGACUGAUUGCUCUCUUUCUCCUUGUCUUGCAGGUAAGAACAAGGCCAAAGGAAAAGACAGGGAAAAAGCAUGAUAUGGGAUACUCUUGCUUUUAACCCUGAUGAUAUGAGAUAUUCUUGCUCUAGUAUAGCUUGUUUACAGAGGUAUUAUCGGGGGGAAAGAAAGCUGAAUAUUUCGAAAGGCUUCGUUGGGAUUGCCCUCUCAGAUAAGAGGAAGGGUUGAGCAUUUUUGCAGGUCUGCAUGUCCGUUGAGGAUGGAGGUCGACAUAUAUAGAAGUCUCCCUAACAUCAAGUAAUAAUGCUAUUCCUUUACCCUACUUGGUCAUAGCACGGUAGUGGGAGCUGCCAGCUUCACAAGUUUUAACUCUGUCAGAGCACUUUGAAAAAGUGGUCUGUGGUAUCUGGAAAGCUGAUGUUGCGUGUGAAGAUUACAGACAAACUUUAUCCAAGGAGAUCCAGCUCUUGAAGUUGGGAAAGUGGUGCCUCUUCGGUUUUCGAACAAGCAAUCCUGUCGGGGAUCUGGCUCUCGAGAUUCGGAGAACAAUGCCUCUUCGAUUUUUGAGAAAGCAAUCCUACUGGGGGUCUGGUUCUCGAGAUUCGGAGAGCGGUGUCUUCGAUUUUUGAGAAAGUAAUCAUGUUGGGAGUCUGGCUCUCGAGAUUCGGAGGGCGGUGCCUCUUUGAUUUUGGAGCAAGCAAUCUUGUUGGGAGUGUUUUCUCGAAUGUGAGUAAAGGUUGGGCAUGUUUGCUAGUCUACCUUGCCACGAAGCAUAGAGGUUGACAUACAGGGACUUUCCAAUUAUCCAGCAGUGGUACUGUUCCUUUACCCUAUCUUCGAUUUUUGAGAAAGUAAUCAUGUUAGGAGUCUGGCUCUCGAGAUUCGGAGGGCAUGUUUGCUAGUCUACCUUGCCACGAAGCAUAGAGGUUGACACACAGGGACUUUCCAAUUAUCCAGCCGUGGUACUGUUCCUUUACCCUCUCUUCGAUUUUUGAGAAAGUAAUCAUGUUGGGAGUCUGGCUCUCAAGAUUCGGAGGGCGAUGCCUCUUCGAUUUUGGAGCAAGCAAUCUUGUUGGGAGUGUUUUCUCGAAUGUGAGUAAAGGUUGGGCAUGUUUGCUAGUCUACCUUGCCACGAAGCACAGAGGAGCAGUGGUACUGUUCCUUUACCCUUGUGGGUAAUAAUAUGGUAGCUAGACCUUCAAAAUUUAUGUGUCUAAACUUUGUUAGUGUUGUUUCUUUGCUAAUCUUUUACCCUUCUUGGUCAGAGUGAUGUAGUGGGAGCUGCAAGCUUCACGUGUCUCAACUUUGUCAGAGAACUUUGUCAGAGAACUUUGGCAAGUUAUCUGUGGUACCCAUGAGCUACUGUUGCGUGUGGGAAGUGGGUGAUUGAACAGUAAGAUUCAUGUGCUUUUCUACUUCGCCAGAAAUCUUCGACAGAAUGCCCAUAAUUUCCGCAAAGCUGAGUGUGCGUGUGACAGGUGCUGACAAGGCUGGAAAAAGUAGGUGCCUCUUCGAUUUCUGAGAUCGGCCCUCGUGGUCUCUGAGCAGCCCAGCUUUUGAGAAAGCAAGCCUCUUCGAUUUCUGAGAUCGGCCUUCGUGGUCUUUGAGCAGCCCAGCUUUUGAGAAAGCAAACGCCUCUUCGAUUUCUGAGAUCGACCCUCGUGGUCUCUGAGCAGCCCAGCUUUUGAGAAAGCAAACGCCUCUUCGAUUUCUGAGCAGGCGCCUCUUCGAUUUCUGAAGCUUCCGUCGAGUGCAGAUUUUUAUAGGGGCUGGCAUUAAGUUCCAAAGCACACUUGAAUCUCCACCAGUAGAAGCUUCCAUUCUUGCACUUCUAAGAUCUUGAUUUGUCCGACCUCUUCUCUCUUCAACACCUUUGAAAAUGUCUGGCCCCUCCGACCGUCGUUUUGACUUGAACCUUGUUGAAGAGGCAGCCCCGCCUUCUCCAGACAACAUAUGGCGCCCAUCCUUCGUCUCCCCUACUGGUCCUCUUACCGUUGGGGAUUCCGUGAUGAAGAAUGAUAUGACCGCUGCGGUGGUGGCCAGGAACCUUCUCACUCCCAAAGAUAACAGACUACUUUCCAAACGGUCUGAUGAGUUGGCUGUUAAGGAUUCUCUGGCUCUCAGUGUUCAGUGUGCAGGUUCUGUGUCUAAUAUGGCCCAACGCCUAUUUGCUCGAACCCGCCAAGUUGAAUCAUUGGCGGCUGAAGUGAUGAGUCUCAAACAGGAGAUUAGAGGGCUCAAGCAUGAGAAUAAACAGUUGCACCGGCUCGCACAUGACUAUGCUACAAACAUGAAGAGGAAGCUUGACCAGAUGAAGGAAUCUGAUGGUCAGGUUUUACUUGAUCAUCAGAGAUUUGUGGGUUUGUUCCAAAGGCAUUUAUUGCCUUCGUCUUCUGGGGCUGUACCGCGUAAUGAAGCUCCAAAUGAUCAACCUCUGAUGCCUCCUCCUUCUAGGGUUCUGUCCAGUACUGAGGCUCCGAAAUGAUCCCCCUCCGGUGCCUUCUCUUUCUGGGGCUCUACCGACUGCUGAGACUUCUCCUAAGCAACCUUUGUGAAGGCUCCCUCUUGUUUGUUUAUUUUGACUCAAGUAUAUGUACAUAUUUGUAACUUAUCGGGGAUAUCAAUAAAUAAGCUUUCCUUCAUUUCAACGUAUUGUGUUAAAUACACCAAAGCCUUCUUCGCUAAGUUCUUUGAAUUUUCUUUUGUUGAAGCUUGUAUGUUGAAGCUUUGUGAGUGGAGCAUGUAGGUUGAGGUAGUGUUCCCUUAAUUUCCCGAGUGAGGAAAACUUCUCGGUUGGAGACUUGGAAAAUCCAAGUCACUGAGUGGGAUCGGCUAUAUGAAUCUUAGAACGCCAUUGUGUUCUGUCCUGUGUCAUGUCCUCCGUUAGAUCCAAGUACUCUAAGUCUUUUCUUAGGGUCUCUUCCAAAGUUUUCCUAGGUCUUCCUCUACCCCUUCGGCCCUGAACCUCUGUCCCAUAGUCGCAUCUUCUAAUCGGAGCGUCAGUAGGCCUUCUUUGCACAUGUCCAAACCACCGUAACCGAUUUUCUCUCAUCUUUCCUUCAAUUUCGGCUACUCCUACUUUACCCCGGAUAUCCUCAUUCCUAAUCUUAUCCUUUCUCGUGUGCCCACACAUCCAACGAAGCAUCCUCAUCUCCGCUACACCCAUUUUGUGUACGUGUUGAUGCUUCACCGCCCAACAUUCUGUGCCAUACAGCAUCGCCGGCCUUAUUGCCGUCCUAUAAAAUUUUCCCUUGAGCUUCAGUGGCAUACGGCGGUCACACAACACGCCGGAUGCACUCUUCCACUUCAUCCAUCCAGCUUGUAUUCUAUGGUUGAGAUCUCCAUCUAAUUCUCCGUUCUUUUGCAAGAUAGAUCCUAGGUAACGAAAACGGUCGCUCUUUGGUAUUUCUUGAUCUCCGAUCCUCACCCCUAACUCGUUUUGGCCUCCAUUUGCACUGAACUUGCACUCCAUAUAUUCUUCUGUCUUUGAUCGGCUUAGGCGAAGACCUUUAGAUUCCAACACUUCUCUCCAAAGGUUAAGCUUUGCAUUUACCCCUUCCUGAGUUUCAUCUAUCAACACUAUAUCGUCUGCGAAAAGCAUACACCAAGGAAUAUCAUCUUGAAUAUGUCCUGUUAACUCAUCCAUUACCAACGCAAAAAGGUAAGGACUUAAGGAUGAGCCUUGAUGUAAUCCUACAGUUAUGGGAAAGCUUUCGGUUUGUCCUUCAUGAGUUCUUACGGCAGUCUUUGCUCCUUCAUACAUAUCCUGUAUAGCUUGGAUAUAUGCUACUCGUACUCCUUUCUUCUCUAAAAUCCUCCAAAGAAUGUCUCUUGGGACCCUAUCAUACGCUUUUUCCAAAUCUAUAAAGACCAUGUGUAAAUCCUUUUUCCCAUCUCUAUAUCUUUCCAUCAAUCUUCGUAAGAGAUAGAUUGCCUCCAUGGUUGAGCGCCCUGGCAUGAUGAACCCGAAUUGGUUGUGUCCGAAACCCGUGUCUCUUGCCUCAAUCUAUGCUCAAUGACUCUCUCUCCCAGAGCUUCAUUGUAUGACUCAUUAGCUUAAUACCCCUAUAGUUCAUGCAAUUUUGUACAUCGCCCUUAUUCUUGUAGAUAGGCACCAAAGUGCUCGUUCGCCACUCAUUUGGCAUCUUCUUCGUUUUCAAAAUCCUAUUGAAAAGGUCAGUGAGCCAUGUUAUACCUGUCUCUCCCAAAACUUUCCACACUUCGAUUGGUAUAUCGUCUGGGCCUACUGCUUUUCUAUGCUUCAUCUUCUUCAAAGCUACAACCACUUCUUCCUUCCGGAUUCUACGAUAAAAAAGAGUAGUUUCUACACUCUUCUGAGUUACUCAACUCCCCUAAAGAAGCACUCCUUUCAUGUCCUUCAUUGAAAAGAUUAUGAAAAUAACCUUUCCAUCUGUCUUUAACCGCGUUCUCUGUAGCAAGAACUUUUUCCAUCCUCAUCCUUGAUGCACCUCACUUGGUUUAGGUCCCUUGUCUUCUUUUCCCUUGCUCUAGCUAGUUUAUAGAUAUCCAACUCUCCUUCUUUGGUAUCUAGUCGCUUAUACAUAUCGUCAUAAGCCGCUAACUUAGCUUCUCUCUCACAGCUUUCUUCGCCUCUUGCUUCGCUUUUCUAUACCUUUCACCAUUUUCAUCGGUCCUAUCCUUGUAUAAGGCUUUACAACAUUCCUUCUUAGCCUUCACCUUUGUUUGUACCUCCUCAUUCCACCACCAAGAUUCCUUUUGGUGUGGGGCAAAGCCCUUGGACUCUCCUAAUACCUCUUUAGCUACUUUUCGGAUACAACUAGCCAUGGAAUCCCACAUUUGGUUAGCUUCCCCCUCUCUAUCCCACACACACUGGGUGAUUACUUUCUCUUUGAAAAUGGCUUGUUUUUCUUCUUUUAGAUUCCACCAUCUAGUCCUUGGGCACUUCCAAGUCUUGUUCUUUUUUUCUCACUCGUUUUGAUAUGUACAUCCAUCACCAACAAGCGAUGUUGAUUAGCCACGCUCUCUCCUGGUAUAACUUUGCAAUCCUUACAAGUUAUACGAUCCCCUUUCCUCAUUAGAAGAAAAUCUAUUUGUGUUUUUGACGACCCAUUCUUGUAGGUGAUCACAUGUUCUUCUCUCUUCUUAAAGAAGGUGUUGGCUAAGAAGAGAUCAUAUGCCAUUGCAAAAUCCAAGAUAGCUUCCCCAUCCUCGUUUCUCUCUCCAAAACCAUGGCCACCAUGAAAACCUCCAUAGUUGCCUGUCUCCCUGCCCACGUGUCCAUUUAAAUCUCCUCCUAUAAAUAACUUCUCCGUCUGAGCAAUUCCUUGCACCAAGUCUCCAAGGUCUUCCCAAAAUUUCUCCUUCGAACUCGUAUCCAACCCUACUUGAGGUGCGUACGCACUAAUCACAUUGAUAAGUUCUUGUCCUAUUACAAUCUUGAUUGCCAUGAUUCUAUCUCCUACCCUCUUGACAUCUACAACAUCUUGUGUCAAGGUCUUGUCCACGAUGAUGCCAACACCGUUUCUCGUUCUAUUUGUGCCCGAAUACCAUAGUUUAAACCCUGAGUUUUCUAGAUCCUUUGCCUUACGCCCAACCCACUUAGUUUCUUGUAGGCACAUAAUAUUUAUCAUUCUCCUCACCAUAACUUCUACUACUUCCAUAGAUUUUCCCGUCAAGGUUCCUAUAUUCCACGUUCCUAAACGCAUUUUGCUCUCUUGAACUCUACCCUUCUGUCCUAACUUCUUCACCCUUCCCCGUCUAAUAGGAUCAAAGUACUUCUUUUGUGUGUCCCGUGUAAAGUUGAUAGGAGCAUAUGCUCCCAAACAACUUUGAGUGGAGUCGUUCGAAAAGAAGUUUCUAUAGCCCCUUGCUCAUUUAACACUGCAUCCGGGUGCCGAUGGAGAUACAGCGACCCUUGCUCAUUUAUCACUGUGCUCGGGCCACACAGCGCGCCACUUACGGGUGACGCCCUAGCUUUAGCGCGAUUUCGUUCUGGAUUCAUGAUUUUGUGUUUCAUUCGUCAAAAAUAAUUUUUCUCAAUCAACAUGUUUGUAGUUUCAUUGCUUAUGGUUUUAUUCAACAAUGGAGGGUGGGAGGGGUUUUUGAUAGUUGAAGUAGAUAAAUAAUACGUUAAAAAUGAUUUGGGGUGUAUUUAUAAAUUUUUUAUUAAUUUUUAAACCUAAUAAGGUCAAAAUUGUCAUUGCAUAGUGGAGUAAAUAAGUCAUUAAUAUUAAUUUUUAAUGUGGGAUGCAUCCAACAUUUUGUGGGGUGCUAAUAUAAAAAGCCUAUAUAUUUUGACGGGAAUAAACCGAAAAUUCCCUUUGUUUCUUCAUUUUCAUCUGAGAGUCGCUUUCAUUUUCCCAUAAGUCCUCACCUUUGCCGGAAACAAAAGCCUUUCGAUUCCCCAAUCAUGGGCUGUGCCGUUGCAAUCACUCUUCUGAUCGCCGCCGCAACGCUGAUCGUCACUCGCCUGCUCUACGUAUUGCACUUAACCGGCAAACCCCACAAACCCCCCAAACCCAGCAGCUCGAAAGGCUCAGCUCCCCAACCCCUCAGCACCCUAAUCGUCUUGGGCUCUGGAGGCCACACGGCGGAGAUGAUCAACCUCUUGUCCGUCCUUCAAAGAGACAGAUUUGCCCCUAGGUUCUACAUCGCCGCCGCCACUGAUAACAUGAGCCUCCAGAAAGCUCGCCUACUGGAAGAGAACGCCGAUGAGAGUUCGAGCUCGCAGUUCAUGCAGAUCUACCGUAGUAGGGAAGUGGGUCAGUCUUAUUUCACCUCUGUUUUGACCACUUUGAUUGCUUUGGCUCAUGGGCUCUGGCUAAUGAUCAGAAUCCGACCCCAAGUGGUAAUCUUUUCGCCUUUUCGAAUUUUCGCAUUUUCGCUAUUUGUUUCAGUUGAUAUGAGACAUUGGAGAUUAAAUUGUCGAUGAUCAGUGCUGUUGGUGUUGCAGAUUCUGUGCAAUGGGCCUGGGACUUGUGUUCCACUUUGUGUAAUUGCAUUCAUAUUCGAGGUUUGGAUUGACCAUUUUGAAUCUGUUGUCAUUUUUCUUUGUUAAGUCUUUUGCCAUUUUGUUCUGUUAUGAAUUUCGGGACCUUUUCGAUAUGUGCAGGUUGUGGGGAUUCGAUGGUCGUCUGUGUUUUAUGUUGAGAGUAUAGCAAGAGUGCAGAGGCUCUCCCUGAGCGGCUUGCUUCUUUACAAGUUACGGAUAGCGGAUCAAUUCUUUGUCCAGUGGCCUCAGCUACAGAAGAAAUAUCCCCGAGCUCACUAUGUUGGUUGUCUCAUGUAGUUGAUCCGAUUCUGCUGCUGCUAUACAUGCUCUAACGUCCAACUUUUCGCAAUGUAAUGUGCGUUUCUCAAGGUUUUAACUUCUACAGUUUAUUUUGUUUCGUCGACCAUAGUUGCCAACAUUUUAGCUUCUUACUAAUUGAAGAAGAGACUGAUAUCAUUGCAUCGAUGAGGAAAGUGUAAAGAUUGUCGAAAUUUAUAGUACUUUUUAGGGCAUACCUGAGAUCAAAAGUUAUGCAUUACUGGGUUCAACUUGUAAUCUUGUAUGCUAGAUAAUUUAACAGUGAUCGCAUUUUGGUUUAUCGAAACUAGGCUUUGUAUCUUUACCUUUUAAUUUCUCUAUCCUUCUCCUUUUGUUAUCGUUGAAGAAUAUUAGUUACAGCUAGAACUGGAAUGAAGGGCAAGCCGGAAGCACUCAUGACAUUGGAGAAUAAAGAAUGACACGUCAAAAAUCAAUCCAAUGAAUAGCAUAGAGAUGGUGAUGCGCACCCACCGGGUAAAAUCUCUGGGCUGAGAAAUUGUUGCUUGUUGGGAGAUUUUCUUAAACUCAAGUGUAUUAUCUUCUUCAGCUUCUUCAGCUGGUAUGAAACACAUAUUUGGAUUACCAUGGAGGUAGCUUCAUCUAUGAUUUAGUUCAUCAGUAAAAUCACAAAUUUUCUUUUAGUUGCAUACGAAUAUGAUCGAUCUGUCAACUAUUCGGUGUUUUUUCUUUGUCUUUUCAACAUAAUGUGCUGUUUACAAUUUCUGUUGCAUGCAAUCUAUCAUUUAAUGUAUGAGAUAUUAUAUAGCCGUUCAGGUUCCUCCAUUGCAGAUAUGUGCUGUAAUUCUACCGCUACAGAGUUAAUACAUCGGAAUGAGUUUCCGAUUUUAUGCAGAGAAGCCAUAUAAAAACAUGAAAACUAUAAAAUCUUUGUGCACAUAUAGAAAUCGACUUACCUAUGAUGUGGGGUUGUUGCCUUUCAUCAGGGCAAUUGGAAAGCUUGUAAUUCUGUUCUUUUGCAUAUAAAACCAGAGAUGAUCUACAAACCAGUGUUCUAAAAAACGGCUUAGGCGGUGGCGACCCGAGGUGUUUUCUUGCAAAUUGGUUGGAAAAAUCGGCUGGGCUCUAGGCGGGCUAGGUGGUUUUUUUUUUGUUUUUUGAAAUUUAAAAAAAAAAUCUAAUGUACAUGUGUCAUCUUACAAUACUCCUCACUAUAGGGGUGGGCACGGGCCGGGCUGGGCUCAAAAUUGAAGGAACCGGACCGGACCCAUUUAUAAAUAAAACGAGGCGGGGUAGGGCGGGUUUUGGAUUUUUCAAAAUGGGAUCCGGACCUACCCGACCCUUUUGAAACGGGCCGGUCCUACAGGUCCCCACAGGUCCAAGUGUGGGUGCGUCAGCUUCCUAGCAAGUCCACGUCUCCUCCAUCCUCAGGUACCACCUCGAGUCCUUCAGCCGCUUCACCGUCAUGAUAAACCCGAAUUCCAUCACCGCCUUGUAUGUACUUCCCAUUGUGGAUCCAUACAUAUAAAAUCAUGGCACCAUUUAUCCGAAAUCAACAAAAUCAAUCACUUUGUCUCUAGUUCCUUUUCAAAAUCAACAAAAGGGAUCUGGGUUUAUACCCUUUGAUUACAGGAUCCCUACACAAAUAACAACAUGCAAGAGACAUUUUCCUUCAAUUUUUCCUUAAUCUAAACAUUAGAAACAAAAUCGAAGAAGGAUGAGACUAAAGUCUAAACUCCACAACAAAUUCAAAAAAAAAGAAGAAAAAAAAAACCCAUCUCAUAUUUCCCACCAUACGGUACCUGCAGAUUAAUGAAAACCCAGAUGGGCUAGAUGCUCAAUCUUGCAAAAAAUUAAGAUCUGAGAGGAGACACAGGAAGACUAAGAACAGAGGGCAUAGUGGUCGACUUCGAUUCGCAUGGCGCUGACGAUGGUGGUGUUUGACCAUCUUGAGGUGCUGAUGAUGGGGGUCUUCGUUGAGGAGGAGAAUCGAGAGAUAGGUAGGGCGACGGUGGCGACGGUUCUGAGUUUGAUGUCGUCGAGGUCGCACAAAAUGCCUACAUAAAGCUGGUGCUCCACACUUUCAAGCACAAGAUAUCUGUCGUCAACGGCAUCCUCCUCGGCCGCGUCUCCCCCCAGAACGACGUCAUCGAGAUCACCGACUCCGUCCCUCUCUUUCACUCCCACAUCGGCCUCCUUCCCCAGAACGAGAGAUAGAUGGUGAAACAGCAGCGCCGGUUCUGAGUUUGAUGUCGUCGAGGUCGAGGAGGAGAAGACGAGUGACAGAGAGUCUGUGGGUGGGAGGUGACGAGAAAGAGUCUGAGUUACAGACUGGGGGAUGAGAUCCUAGAUAAUGGACUAAGAAAUGGGCCGGUUUGAGGGCCCGUUCUUCUCAAUAUUUGGACUCGGGCCCGAACCUUAAUUGCCAUAUCCCAGCCCCGCCCCGCCCCACCCCGUUUACUCUCCAAAAAAAUUGGAACCGCCCCGACCCGCGGUUCCACUGCCCAUUUGCCCACCCCUACCUCACUAUGGUUAUGUGGUAUAUAUGCUUAAUGUGUUUUUAAAUUUUGGACUUGUUGGAUACUCUUUUUGUAUUUUAUCAUUCCUUUAUCGGAAAAUUAGAAUCCUGUACCGUUUUUUUUAUAUCAUUUAGAUUAAAUAUAUGUGCCUUUUUAAAAUUUGAUUAAAGUGCUUUGACCAAUAGUCACCUCUAUUUUUUAAAAUUAAAAUAAUUUUUGAAUUUAUCCUUUUAUCUGCAUGAUGCAUUUUUCCUUAUUUAGUGGAAAUAUUAGUAAUUAAACUAUAUUUUCUCUUCUUCCAAAUAUGUUUUUCGAUCACAGUUUUUUUUUGUUACGCUAACAUUUAAUAUUAUUUCUUUUUCCAAAUGGUUUUUUGGUUUUCAAAUAGUUGGUGAUCAACAUAAAAGCUUUGUGUAAUUUUUUCAAUUUUUUUUGUGAAAUUAUAUUUUUUUGCUGUUUUUUAAGGGGCUUUUAGAUCUAGGUCCAAAAACAUAAAUGGUUUUUAGGAGUGAGUCCAGUUAUCUAAUUACAUGUUUUUAUUUCUUUUAUACUCAUUUUAUAUUUUUGUCUAAAAAUAUUAAAAUCAAUUAAAAUAUUCUAAUAUUAUGCAUUUUUCAACUCCAAAAAAUAUAAUUAAUAUCUUAUAACAAAAAAAAUAAUAUACUAACAUAAAUCUAUCUGUAAAACAUUCUACCUUAACUCAAGUAACAAAUAUAUGAAUGAAUAUUAUACCUAUAAGCAAGAUAUGAAACCUAACUAAAAGGUAGAAAAAACAUAGAUACCUACAAGCAAGACACAUUAAUCUUAGUUUAUUAUAAAAAAUCUAUUAUAUAGGUAGAUAAAUUAAUUAACUUGUGAUAUAGGUUGAUUAUAAAAAUUAAAAAUAAAAUCUAUGAAUGAGGUGUAAAGCAAGAGGAAAAACAAAAAAGAACAAAAAAUACAUAAAAAGAAAUAAUCAAAGAGAUAAUUAGGAAGAAAUUUGAUUUUUAUAAUAAAUCUUAUCGUUAAAGAGAUAAUUAUUGAUAAUAAAAAUAAUUAAAUUUAAAACUUCUUUUAAUAAAUUGGACUAUUCCUACUAUUGGCUCAAAAAAUUGGACUUAUAUAAAUAUAGUUGUUGACAAAUUACUAUUAUGUACAAUACAUUACGUAUAUAUUAUCUGUGUGUAUGUUUGAAUUUAAAAAAAAUCAUUAAUUGGUACGCUUAUUUGCAAUUUUGGUACGUUUGAUUUGAUACAUAUUGUUAAUAUUAGUACAUUAUUUUUAUUUUGGUACGUUUUAUUUUGUACACAUUGUGUAUUGGUACGUUUCUAUUAUUCUCAAUCCUAUUUUCUCUUAACAUACUAAAAGAAAAACUUAUUUCGGUACGUUUGAUUUUGGGGGAUUUAAAAAUAUUUUAAACUAUUUUGCAAAGAAAAUAUCUUAAAUUGUAGAUAAUUAUUGCUAAAUUGUAGCAUUAUUGUGAAAAUAAAUUGAACCUAACCAACUUUUUAUUUUUAUUUUUUACAAUUAUCUCUAUCGGAUGAUAGUGUAAUCAAAAUGCUAGAUUAUAGGAAAUUUGAUACAAUAUAAUGUGCAUAUAGCACCAAAAUUAUGACAAAAACAAGUUUAAUCAAAUCACUAAAAUGCAUGAAUGUUUGAUCUAGAAAAUUCAAAAUUGAGGCGCCUAUAUCAAAAGAUCCCUUCUUUAUUAUCUUAUCUAUGGAUUUCAUGUAAGUGUUAAUAUGCAUUUAUUUGCAAGAUAUACAAGAAAUUUAACUAAAUCCGCCUAGACCCCGCUAGCCUCCUAAGCACUAGCCCGCCGCCCGACUAGUGCCUAGCGUUUUUCAGAACCUUGCUACAAACAGAUCUCUUUUUUCAAUCAUUUAAAGCUUUCGGAACUUCAACGUUCCUGGAAUUUCUAUUCUCCGCCUUGGACUUACGAUCUUCGAUGUAGUGAUGAUACGCGUAGGAAACAAAUCCCCAAAUACCCAAAACCAUGGCUAUUCCCUUAAUUCCACUCAUUUUUUCAUGGAAGAAGAUCACAGCUAAAACUGGAACAGCAGGCAAACCCAAAGCACUUAUGGAAUUGGAGAAGAGGGAAGAGGCCUCCAAAAUCAAGCCUACCGUUCCAACUGAAAAAAGCUGCCAUGUUAUUGCUGUCCAAGUCACAUUCAUCACAUAGGAUAUCUUCCCUAAUUUAUACCCCUCCAUCUCACCGUUCAAAUGCUUCCACUCUCCGCUAGCAAAAAGUCCGACGGCGGUAACACAGGUUGCGACCAUAUUUUCACACACUAUCAGGUCCAUGACCGCUCUAAACGUCCCCUGUUUUAUAACCCUUCUGAAGGCAAGCUGAGUUAGGGAAAGCAAUAAUCCGGCUCCGGCUGAUGCCCCUAAGGUGCAUAUGAACCCAAUUGCAUACUUUGCCUUCAAUCCUCCACUUGGAUCAUCGUCUCCAGAGUCGUCUUCACCUUGGAACACAAGGAGGGUGGAGGAGAUGGUGAGGAGAACUAGAGAAUUGACAAUGUAAGAAGUGAACUUUUGCGCGUUGAGGAAGAAGGAGAAAAACGCGUUGAAGGCCAAUUGAGAUGCACAAAUGAGGGUAAAAGUAGAUACAGGAAGGUAAGAUAGUCCUACGGAAUACAAGUAGCAGUCUAGGGCUAUUAGGAUGCCAAGAGAGACAUAUACUGAUGCGAGAAUUUUGGUAGACGGUGAUUUUGAUGGGAUAGGACUAUCUUUUGGGAUUGGAUUAUUUCUGCUUGCUGGGAUGCAAUAGUAGGGAAGCAUGAUUGGAAAGCCACAAAGUUGUACUACUGUUGCCAUCCAUUUACUUUUGGCGCCUUUGUCAUAGUACUGUCUUCCCAAGAAUGUUGCAAUUGACUGGCCGGCAAUGACAAGGAACGAGUAAAUGGCGAUUCUAAUCCACCAGUUGACACUUCUGCGCUGCGGUAGCAGUGAUCGGUCGGAGACAUGUGUAGGCCCUGAUAAGUUUGCUUCCCUUUCUCCAUUUCCUUCCUUAACUAUAAGAACAGAGACAAGGGAUCAGUAUUGAAACUUAUGAUAAUAACAAGGUUGGGAUUUUGUAGAAUUCUCCCCCCAUAGCCACCCCAACUUGUAAUUUUUAUGACUCAUAAAUUACAAUAAGAAUAUAACUCACUUCUCAUAAUUUGAUUCGCUUAACACAUAUCAUUUGAAAGUUCUAGAUAGAUUGGUCCAUAGUGUUAUCCAGGUAAAUGAACAACUGGAUAUGCGGCCAAGAAUUCCGGUGCAUACUGAAUAAACUUUAUAUCAGUUGCUUUAUAUACUCAGAAAAUAUCAUAUUGAAUAGAAGUAGACUUACCCCCGAUGCUGAGUUGAAGUUCUUGAGCUUCUCCCAUGUCAAAGAUGAAAAUACUCACAAUUGAGGAGAGAGAGAGAGAGAGAGAGAGAGAGAGAGAGAGAGAGAGGUCACUCACAUAAGUUUAGUAAAUGACAUGCAUGCAAUUUCGGAAUAGAUAUUUCCAACUGAAAGUUAUAAUAGCUAGCUUGUAUUAUUGUUGCUUAUUUAUAUUUUUUGUAUCCUCAGAAACUGCAAGUUACAGACAGUAUCAUCACAUUCAUGAAUAAUAUACGGACCAAACUGGAUCAUUCGUUUUUGUUUGAUACACGACUCUACCUCUUUUCAGACGGUUGAUAUUAUCGAAGAAACAAGAUAUUGAUACUUCCCUUUUUCGGCCCCGCAACGCGUACGUAUAUUAUGAACACUCCUUAUACAGUAUAGCAUACGUGGUAAAUAGCGGUGGCCUAAAGUUUUCAGUUUCAAAGAUAUAUAGUAGUAUUUACUUACUUGAAACGAAGAAUCAUCAAACAUAUAUACUCCUUCUGAAAGAACUAUGAGAAUAUCAACCUCCAAAGUUGGCCUCUUCUAGGCAGUAGACUAGUAGUUGAUCAUGUUCUGAGCUUCAUUUUUCGGAAUAGGAUCCUCUCACAGGGAUUUGGAUGAUCAAUUAAUCAUGUCCGUUCAUCAUAUAUCGUACGGUUAUAAAUCAUUUUAAUUUUUAAUUUAAAAUUAAAUAUAAAUAGUAUUUAACAAAAACUGAUCGCACGAUGUACGACAAAUGAAUACGAUUGAUUGAUUCCAGGAUCUCUACAAAACGAAUCCAAAGAGGAUCCUUGUCCUCACUUUUCCAACUAAGAAUCAUCAAAGAUUCAAAUGUAAAUCCUCCUUCCGAAAGCGCUAAAAGAAUAUCAACCUCCAAAUUUGGCCUCUUGUAGGUAGUGGACUGGUAGUUGAUCAUGUUCUGAGCUUCACCUCUCCAACUCAAGAAAAAUCACUCAUUAAAUUUCAAGACAACAGCUUGUAGACUUCUAGGGUUCCUACUAUAUGUCAAAUCUUGAUUAUUGCAGUGAAUGAUAAAUCACAAAAGAAAUCUGCUAAUCUUUGCUUCCAGCAAGUGCAAUAUUUUUUUAUUAUAUACAUUGGAGAUAAUUCAACUGUAAUCAGAGUCUUGCCUUAAUGCAAACAAAGAAUCAUGUCAGAAGAUUAUUUAUAUUUUGUAAGUGUGGUUGUUCAUGAUUGUGCUUAUUCUCUAUUUGUACGUAUCAAAUAAUUUACAAAUGUGGUAUAAAAAUAAUAAUCUUCCUACUGUAAGAAAAAAAAUUUAUAUAAAACUAGCAAAGUGACUCAGUUGUUUCUCAAUAUUUAUUUAUUUUUAUACGUGCAAAUUGACUUUCUACCCAGAAGAAUAAUAAUAAAUAAAUAACAUCGUGAUAUUCAUUAUUUUAUGAACAGUGUCAAGUCAUCAUCAUGCCCUAGCCAACCUUAUCCAAUAAUUGAUGAAAUUUCAACUGAGAUGGCUACGAUUGUUUGUAGUCAUGGGUCCAUGGCUUACUAGUUCAUCAACUACUAGCUACCAGCACAAAACAUCAUAAUUAUAUCAUAGACAUCACAAUAGUAGUGAGUUAAAGUCAGUUUGACAGAUUUUACAACCAUCAACAACAUACGACGCGUAUUACAUACAUACAAAUCUUAGAUUAAGUAAGAUUCUAUAUCAUUAUAUUUGUUUAGGUCUUGAAAUGCAAAAGCAAAAUCCCUUCAACUAUUUCCAUUUUUGUUCUCUAUCUUGGACUUAGGAUCAUCAAGGUAGUGCUGGUAAACAUAUGAAAUUAAUCCCCAAAUGGCCAAAAACAAGGCCAUUGCCUUAAUCCCGUCCAUUUUGUCAUGGAAGAAAAUCACAGCUACAACUGGAACAACCGGCAAACCCACAACAUUAAUGGCAUUGGAGAAGAGAGAAGAUGCCUCAAAAACAAGUUCAUGACAUAUGAUACCUUCCCUAAUUCGUACCCCUCCAUCUUGUUCCUCAAACCCUUCCACUCUCCGCUACCGUAAAGUCCCACCAAGACGGCGCAGGUAACAACAAGAGACUGAUAUUGUAAAACCCCUCCCCAAAUUCUUUGUAAUUUUGUACCAAAUAUUGAUGAAAUGACAAUUUUACCCCCAUAAUCCUACCCUAUCCGGAUCCCUUUUCAGAUUUCUCUCAUCUCUUCAUCUGCCACAUGGCAGCCCACUAACUCAUCCCUAUCUCUCUCUCUCUCUCUCUCAUUCCCCCGAGUCAACACUCUCCUUUCUCUCUCUCAGCUCAACUCUAUCUCUCUCACACACUCACACUCUCUCGAACCUUUUCCCUCUCAUUUUCCCGGCAACACCCAACCACCCAACGACCUCACCAUAACCACCAGCCUCCCGAGGACCUUCCCUCCCUCUCCAUCAUCUCUGUGAAGCUCCGGGGCACCCAGAGGACACCCAACCCAGGUCCAGCGAGCCUGCGAGUCUUGAGCAAAGAUCCGAACACCAUUCGAUGUUAUCAAGGUACAAAAUUCUUUCCCCUCGUCCGUACCUUCUUUUUGGUAGUUAGAUUGUAGGGUUUAGUGGUCAAACGAUGAUGACCGGAGCUCGAGAGGCUUUGGCUUUCUUCCUCGGCGAGAAACGGGCCGGCUAGACCUAACCCAUGGAGCCCAAACCCUUUGAAAGCCGAAAACCAAAACCCUUGUUAGUUUAGGCCUUUGGGCUGUAUAGGACUCGGGCCUUAGGACCGUUGACCCCAAAUCCAAACCCAUUGAGUUUUUAUUUAUUUUAUUUAUUUUCUUUUUAAAAACCCAAAGGCAAUUGAGCCGGGCUUUCAAGCCCAAGCCCCUUAUAUGCAACCCAUGGCCCCUGGCCCGUUGAACCCAAAACCCUUUUCCCUUGGGCCGGGUUACUAGCCUACUGACCCGAAGCCCAAGCCCACUGAACCCAAGCCCAAACCUAUUGGACCCAAGCCCAAGAACCCAGGCCCAAAUCCGGUCCAACCUAGUAGCCUAGCCGCACGUGGAGCACAUGCGCCACUGUCUACGGUUGCUCCGGCGACUUUUCCAGUGACCCACGGUGGCGCGUGGCCGCUGGAGCCGCCACCUUGCGGCGGCGCGUCGGGGUACCCGAGGUCCCCCUUUAUGUUUUCCAACGUCUUGAAUCCUUUUAUGAUGUUCAUUUUUCGAAAUUCAAUUGUUUGAGUAUAGUUUUAUUAAUUGAACCCUUCAUGUGCUUAGGUGCAAUUAUUAGCGGCGUUUCCGUCCUUCCUAUUUUGUACGGCUCUUCGACGACGGAGUAUCUGUGAGUGGACCCCUUCUAAAAUGCAUGUUUUAAUAGUUGAAAUGCAUACAUGAAAAUCAUGAUUUAAUGGUUACGGUUAUGAAACGUUUUAUAAGUAAAUUGGAUUUACAUUAUAUGAUUAUCAUGCUUACUGAGAAUAUUUUGGAAUACCAUACUUUAUCGAAAUUAUGUUCUUUGUAGUAUAUAUGAUGGAUGACUAUAUACUAUUUAUGAACAUGUUUUUACACUUCUUUGUAAUAUAUAUCAUGGAUGACUAUAUGCUAUGAAGAUGUUUUGAGUUAUAUGUACCUAUGUUUGGAAAGACUAUGUUCAAUGAUUUUGUGCGUAUCUAGUGGUCACUAUUCUACCUACGGGCGAGGGAGAUAUAUGUAGAUGGCUUCGGGCCGAGAGAUACGUACUGGCUUCGGGCCGAAAGAUACUAAUAUUGAUACCACUAGUUAGCACAUUACAUACAAGAUAUGUUUCAUGAAAGGUUUUAUGGCAUGCUAAGGUUUUCAGAAAACCUAUUACAUAUUAUGCUAUUGAGUUUUCAUAAAACUUUGGGGGUUAGUACGUUGAUAACUGUUUCAGUAUUAUAUAUAUAUAUAUAUAACUUGGUCCACUCAUGUUUGUUUUGCGCCCCCUCAGGACAUAAGAACAAAGCGUACAAUUCGAGCUACGAGGCAUUCCCCUACCAGUGAUAUCGUGCCAUCAUCUCUGCUUUGACAUCAUUGUAAUAGCAUCUUCCGUUGUAUUUUGAAUUAGAUGUAUGCUCUGAACAUGUUAUGCACUAUCACUAUCUUCACGCAGAAAUGAAUAGUCACUUCUUAGUUUGAACGAAAUUUAUACGCAUGAUUUACAUGUUCUCAGCAUAUGCAUUCAUUAAAUGACUUGUGUCACCCUUGAAUGUCGGCCAGCACGUGGCCAUCCCGAUGUCCCUCAGACAUUGGGAUCGGGGCGUGUCAGAUAUACACUAUCAUAUCCAUGACCACUCUAAAUGUCCCUCCUUAUAACUUUUCUGAAGACGAGCUGCGAUAGAGAAAGCGUUAAUGAGCAUUCAGCUGAUGCGCCAAGGGUACAUAUGAACCCGUUUGGAUACUUUGCUUUUGAUCCUCCACUUGAAUCGUCUGUAGAGUCACCUUGGAGCACGAGGAGGGUUGAGGAGAUGGUGAGGAGGACUAGGGCAUUGACAAUGUAAGGGGUGAACUUUUACGAGUUAAGGAAGAAGGAGAAUAGCGCGUUGAAUGCCAAUUGGGAUGCGCAAAUGAGGGAAUAAGUAGAGACGGGAAGGUAAGAUAAUCCAACCGAGUGCAAUAAGCAGCGCAAGGCUAUUUGAAGGUCAAGAGAGACAUAAAUUGAUGCAAGGAUUAAAGUCGAGGGUUCUUUUGAUUCGGUAGUAGUACUAGUAUUAAUGUUUGUGGUUGGAUAUUUUCUUUUUGUUGGGAAGAAAUAAGACGGAAGGAGGAUAGGGAAGCCAGCAAGUUGUACUAGGGCUCCCAGCCAUUUGCUUUUGCCACCUUUGUCGUAGUAUAAUCUUGCCAUCAGUCAUUGCAGCUGAUUGGCCGGCAAUGACAAAGAGCGUAUAAAUGGCCAUUCUAAGCCACCAGUUGAAGGUUCUACGCACGGGAAGCAGUGAUUGUUCGUGAACAUCUGUGCACCCUGAGGAGUUUGCUUCAUUUGAGUCAACUGAUAAAUAGAAGAAAAAGAUAAGGAUCAGUAUUUGAUCAAAUGUCUGUUUUUUGUUCUACUCAAUGCGUUAACACUUCGGCACAGCCAGUAACUGUAAAUUCACGGAAUUAUGAAUGUCAGUAGUAAGAUCGCGUACAAUUAAACUCAUUCUCUAUACACGUAUACAUUGAUUAAUACCCUUUUGCAAUAGCAAGGUAUUAUUCCCGAAUUCCGCUGUAUAUGCACUUAAAAGUUAGAAGAAGAAAAAAAAAAUCAUACCUGCAAUAUUGUUGAGUUGCACAUCUUGAGGUUCUCCCAUGCCAGAGGUGAAGAAACUCUCUCAAAUGAAUGAGAGAGAGAGAGAGAGAGAGAGAGCUUAUUUGAGCUGAUCAGAUAAAAACUUGGCCACGUAAUUUUACGUAAAUGUGGAGUGGGUUGUGCGUCAUGUAACACGGCAAUGAAGAAAAAGCAAGUAGGAAAAGCAUGCAACCCAGAAGUAGGAGUGGAUUCGUCGGGUUUCUCCAACUGACACUUUUGAAUCUGUUGUCAUUUUUCUUUGUUAGGCCUUUUUCCAUUUUGUAUGCUGUUAUGAAUUUCGGGAUAUUUCAAUUCGUGAGGUGAUAUUGGAAAUGUGCAGGUUGUGGGGAUUAGAUGGUCGUCUGUGUUCCAUGUUGAGAAAAUAGCAAGAGUGCAGAGGCUCUCCGUGAGCGCCUUGCUUCUUUACAAGUUACAGAUAGCGGAUUAAUUCUCUGUCCAAUGGCCUCAGCUACAGAAGAAAUAUCCCCGAGCUCACUAUGUUGGUUGUCUCAUGUAGUUGAUCCGAUUCUGCUGCUACUGUGCGUGCUCUAACAUCCAAGUUUUCACAAUUUAAUUAACGUGCGUUUCUCAAGGUUUUAAUUUCUACAGUUUAUUUAAUUUGUUUCGUCAAACAUAGUUGCCAACAUUUUAGCUUCUUACCAAUUAAAGAAUAGACUGAUAUCAUUGCAUCGAUGAGGAAAGUGUAAAGAUUGUUGAAAUUUAUAGUACUUGUUGGGGCAUACCUGAGAUCAAAAGUUAUGCAAUAUUGGCUUCAGCUUGUAGUUUUGUAUGCUAGAUAAUUUAACAGUGAUCCCAUUCUAGUUUAUCGAAAUUAACUAGGCAUUCUCCUUAUGAGUUCACACUUCAUUUGAUGCUUCGGUAUAUAUGUGGGACUCGUAAUGUUUCAAAAUGUUACUGUUUCUUCAUACUGAAGGCAUAGCUCUAAUUCGUAAAUCCAGCAUGCGGAUUGAUAAAGUUGGAUUAGUUAUGUUUAAUGUACACACGUUUGUUACAUUCAAACUUGUGGAUUAGUUUUAGUGAAACUCCUAUAACAUUAAGAUAUGGCAAAACUCUUAUGUCCAACGAAAAGAAAAUUCGACAACAUAAUCCGAUAACUACUGCAGGACAAAAAAGAAAUUAAGUAUCGUCCGUGUCUUAUAUAACUCCUUGAAGAUUAUAUGAACACAAGUUCGGAUUAAACUUCACGGUGAAAGACAAUGGCCAGAACUUUUACUGAUCAUUGAUGGAACAAAAAGGUCUAGGUGAAUUGGUGAUGGAUGUCUAGUUGUCCAUCUUAUUACUCGCUCGGCGGUUGACCUCUUUCGGUAAAGGAAUUGUUGAAAUUUCUCUUACAUGUUUUGUUUCAGCCUUGGACUCUGAAUCAUCGAGGUAGUGCUGAUAGACAUAUAUAUGAAGCAAUGCCCCAGAGGGCCAACACGGUGGAAAUAACCUUUAAUCCGUCCAUGUUAUCAUUGAAGAAGAUUACAGGCUUUACAGCUAGAACUGGAAUGAAAGGCAAGCCGGAAGCACUUAUGACAUUGGAGAAUAAAGAAGACACCUCAAAAAUCAAUCCAAUGAAUAGCGUUAGAUGGUGAUAUACGCACCACCGGCUAAAAUCUCUGGGCUGAGAAAUUAACUGGUAUGAAACACAUAUUUGGAUUACCAUCGAGGUAGCUUCAUGUAUGAUUUAUUCAUCAAUAAAAUAAUUUUUUAUUUUUUUUACUAGCAUACAAAUAUAAUCGAUCUGUGAACUCCUCCAUUGCAGAUAUGUGCUAUAAUCCUACUGCUACAGAGUUAAUACAUCGGAACGAUUUUCCGAUUUUAUGCAGAGAAGCCACAUAAAACAUGAAAACCAGAGUGAAGAAUCUUAAAGUGAUGUGGGAGGUAGAGAGAGAGAGAACAUUCAAGUGGAAAGCAAUAGCCUUUCAUAAACACAAUAAGGCCUGUAAUUCUUUUCUUUUGCAUAAAACCAGAGAUGAUCUACAAACAGACCUCUCUAUUCAAUCAUUUAAAGCUUUUGAAACUUCAACAUUCCCGGAAUUUCUAUUCUCCGUCUUGGACUUACGAUCUUCGAUGUAGUGAUGAUACGCGUACGAAACAAAUCCCCAAAUACCCAAAACCAUGGCUAUUCCCUUAAUUCCACUCAUUUUUUCAUGGAAGAAGAUCACAGCUAGAACUGGAACAGCAGGCAAACCCAAAGCACUUAUGGAAUUGGAGAAGAGGGAAGAGGCCUCCAGAAUCAAGCCCACCGAUCCAACAGAAACAAGCUGCCAUGCUAUUGCUGUCCACAUCACAUUCAUCACAUAGGAUAUCUUCCCUAAUUUAUACCCCUCCAUCUCACCCUUCAAAUGUUUCCACUCUCCGCUAGCGAAAAGUCCGACCACGGUUACACAGGUUGCAACCAGAUUUUCACACACUACCAUGUCCAUGACCGCUCUAAACGUCUCCUUUUUUAUAACCCUUCUGAAGACAAGCUGAGUUAGGGAAAGAAAUAAUCCGAAUCCAGCUGAUGCCCCUAAGGUGCAUAUGAACCCAAUUGCAUACUUUGCCUUCGAUCCUGCACUUGGAUCAUCGCCUCCAGAGUUGUCUUCGCCUUGGAACACGAGGAGGGUGGAGGAGAUGAUGAGGAGAACUAGAGAAUUGACAAUGUAAGAAGUGAACUUUUGCGCGUUGAGGAAGAAGGAGAAAAACGCGUUGAAGGCCAAUUGAGAUGCACAAAUGAGAGUUAAAGUAGAUACAGGAAGGUAAGAUAGUCCUACGGAAUACAAGUAGCAGCCUAGGGCUAUUAGGAAGCCAAGAGAGACAUAUACUGAUGCGAGGAUUUUGGUAGACGGUGGUUUUGAUGGGAUAGGACUAUCUUUUGGGAUUGGAUUAUUUCUGCUUGCUGGGAUGCAAUAGUAGGGAAGCAUGAUAGGGAAGCCACAAAGUUGUACUACUGUUGCCAGCCAAUUACUUUUGGCGCCUUUGUCGUAGUACUGUCUUCCCAAUAAUGCUGCAACCGACUGGCCGGCAAUGACGAGGAACGAGUAAAUGGCGAUCCUAAUCCACCAGUUGACACUUCUGCGCUGCGGUAGCAGUGAUCGGUCUGAGACAUCUGUAUGCCCUGAUAAGUUUGCUUCAUUUUCUCCAUUUGCUUCCUCUGUAACAACAGAUUUACAAGGAUCAGUAUUGAAACUUAUGAUAAUAACAGGGUUGGGAUUUUUAGAAUUCUCCCCCCAAAACAACCCCAAUUUGUAAUUUUUUCCUCAUAAAUUACAAUAAUAACAUAAUUCACUUCUCAUAAUUUGAUUCGUUUAACAUAUAUCAAUCGAAAGUUCUAGAUUGACUUCUCCAUAGCAUCGUCUAGGGUGAAUGAAUAACUAGAUAUGUGGCCAGAAUCCCUGUCCAUACUAGAUAAACUUUUUAUCAGUUGCCAUAUAUGUUGAGAGUUGUCCCACAUCGGUGAGAGACAAUAUUUGCUAUGUGCUUAUAUGGUCUUUGGUUACUCCUCAUAUUGCGAAUUGGUUUUAUGGUGGAAUCCCAAUUUCAUCAUAGUAUCAGAGCGGUGAAUUGAUUUUAUGGUGGAAUUCCAAUUUCAUCAAUAUAUACUCAGAAAAGAUCACAAUAUACUCAGAAAAAUCACAUAGAAUAGAAGUAGACUUACUCCCGAUGCUGAGUUGAAGUUCUUGAGCUUCUUCCAUGUCAAAUAUGAAAAAACUAGCAAACAAUGGAGGGGAGAGAGAGAGAGAGAGAGAGAGAGAGAAGCCUUGUUUCAACUCACGUAUAUAUUAAGUAAAUGACAUGCAUACAGUUUCGGAAUAUAUAUUUCCAAAUGAAUGUUGGAAUAGGUUGCUAGGACUCUAGUCUUGUAUCAUUGUUGCUUUUCUAUAUUUUUGGAAUCCGGAUAAUGAGGAUUCCGAUGAUUCGUGAAUUGUGUCCUAUAUUUUUGGAAUCCGGAUAAUGAGGAUUCCGAUGAUUCGUGAAUUGUAUCCGUUCAUCGUACAUCGUGCAGUCAGAAAUCAUUUUAAAUAUUUUUAUUGAAAAUUAAACACAAACAAUAUCUGAUAAAAACUAACCAGCAUGAUAUAAAUGAAUGAACACAAUUCACAGAUUUCUAGAAUCCUCAUAAAAAAGAUCCGGAUCCUGUUGGAUAUUUUUGUAUCCUAAAAAACGAACCAGGAUCCUCUCCUGAGCAAUUCCAUAGGGAUCCUAGGGAUCCCGCAAUCUUGUCCGUUCAUUUUAUAUCGUGCGGUCAGUUUUCGUUAAGUACUAUUCAUAUUUGAAUUUUUAAAUUUAAAUUUUAAAUGAUUUCUGACCGCACGAUAUACGAUGAAUGGACAUGAUUGCGAAAUCCCUAAGAUCCCUAGGGAAUUGCUCAGGAGAGGAUCCUGUUCCCUAAAAAACUGCAAGUUACAGACAAUAACAUCACAUUCAUGAAUAAAAUGAUGGACCAAAUUGGACCACUCAUCUUCAGGCGCCUGAGAUCAUUGAAGAAACUAGAUAUCUACACUUCAUUUUUUGGGUCCCGCAACUUUUGUAUGAUAUAGUAUACGUGGGAUAGCGGUGAUCUAAAAUUUUCAAUCUCGUAGAUAUAUAGUAUUAAUCAGUGUUUAUUUACUUGAAAUGAAGAAUCAUCAAAUAUAUAUCCUUAUCAAAGCUCUAUAAGAAUAUCAACCCUCCAAGUUUGGACUCUUAGAGGUAGUAGAUUGUCAAGAAAAAUCAUUCAUUAAAUUCCAAAACAGCUUCUAGGGCUCCUAUUAUAUGUUAAAUAUUGAUGAUUGCAACAGAUGAAAAUAUAACAAAAGAAAUCUGCCGAUCUUUGCUUCUUCUUUUUUUUGUUAUAUAUAGUGGAGAAAAUUCAAACCAUAAUCAUAAAGGAUCACGUGGUAAGAAACUAUCUGUUUAAAUUAUAUUUUAUAAAUUAUAUGGUAAGAUUGUGUAUGAUUUGAUUAUUAUUUAAAUGUUUAAUUAACGUGCUUAUUUUUUAUUGGUGACACAUCACAUAAUUACAAAUGUUGUCUUGGGUGUAUGCUCACCCACGUUAACUUGGGUGUAUGCUCACCACACAUCUCCAAGCUUGCCAAGUGUCCCCUUGCCUUAACCCUGGUUAACUGUGAUUUAAUUACUCUUUAUUAAUUUAAUCAAGAAAUAAAAAUAAACUAAAAAUAGACAAAUAAAAAACCGUCUGCAACUUACCUUCCGAAGCGUUUAUUCAGUUUCAAAGAAAUUGUCCUCCUCCACCAAAUCAUCCAUGGCGUUUUGAAUCACAUAAAUUAUCUCCUAAUUGUAAUUUUAUUUAUGUAUAAUAUUCUACUGGAAAUUGAUCGAGCAUUUGAAGCAGCAAUGACGACCCUUUAUUCCUCUCACUUGUUAUCUGCUUCCUCCCACCUCUCACCACCCCACGCCAACCACCCACAAUUUGUAACAGUCUUUUGGGUACAAAUUUUCUUCACUUAUCUGUGCAUCUUUGCUUCGGAUGAAUGGAGGCAACCUGUGCUCCUUUCUCACGAUGUCGAUGGACUUCACCCCGUCAAAUCAAUUCACCCAUUCCCCUUUAAAUUUGUAUUAGAAUUUGAGAUUUUAGAUUUGGGAUAUUCGCCCAAAUGACAGAAAAGGGGGAAAAGUGAUAAGAGGAGAGAGAUGGGAGGGGGGAGGAAGGGAGGCAGAUUCUCUACCCUCCAAGUUCGGUGCCUUUCUAUUUGUGUGGUCACGGUUAAACCACGUCAAUAUUUUAUAUUACUAUUUAUUUUUGUCUUAUUAUCUCUAUAAAAAAAUAUAAAAUGUUGACGUGACUUAACCGUGACCACACAAAACAGUAGGGUACGGGAAGUGGGAGGGCAGAGAAUCUACCUCAAGAGGAAGAGGGGAGAUGGACGGUUGAGAUACAAAUAUUGAUUAAAAAGUUUAAAGAUAAAUGUUAAGAUGAUUAUUAAUGUGUUAUUAUAGUAAAAUAUUAAUAACAAAUGAAAAUGUUAACCAGGAUUAAAGCGAGAGGACACUUGGCAAGCUUGGAGAUAUGUGGUGAGCAUACACCCAAGUUAAUAUGGGUGAGCAAAAAUGCACCCCUAAAAAAAUGGUCUCCCUAUUAUUUCCUCAAAGGAUUUCUAUAAAACUUGCAAAGUGACUCAGUUAUUCCUCAAUAUUUAUUAAUUUAAUUUCUUUUUACUAGUGCAAAUUGACUUUCGAUUCAGAAUUGUUGGUCUUCAUUAAAUACAUCAUGCACAGUGACAAGUCGUGAUCACGCCCUUAUCCUAUAAUUGUUAAAAUUUCAACUAAGACGGGUACAAUUAUUUUUAGUCAUGGGUCCAUGGCUUACUAGUUCAUCAACUACUAGCCACCAGCACAAAAGAUCAUAAUUAUAUCAUAGACCUCGCGAUAGUAGUGAGUGAGUUUUAAGUAAGUUUGACAGGUUUUACAACCAUACAACAAUAUACGACACGUAUUUUACGUACAAAUCUAACAUUAAGUAACAUCUGUAUCAUUAUAUUUCUUUAGGUCUUGAAUUCUUCGAUGUUACACUUGAUAUGCAAAAGCAAAAUCUCUUCAACUAUUUCCAUUUUUGUUCUCGAUCUUGGACUUUUGAUCAUCAAGGUAGUGCUGGUAAACGUAUGAAACAAAUCCCCAGAUGGCCAAAACCAAGGCCAUUGCCUUAAUCCCGUCCAUUUUGUCAUGGAAGAAAAUCACAGCUACAACUGGAACAACAGGCAAACCCACAACAUUAAUGGCAUUGGAGAAGAGAGAAGAUGCCUCAAAAACCAAUCCCACCAUGCCAACAUCAAAGAGUUGCCAUAUUAUAGCUGACCAUAUCAAGUUCAUGACAUAGGAUACCUUCCCUAAUUCGUACCCCUCCAUCUCGUUCCUCAAACCCUUCCACUCUCCGCUACCGAAAAGUCCCACCAAGAUGGCGCAGGUAGCAACAAGAGAUUGAUACACUAUCAUAUCCAUGACCACUCUAAAUGUUUCCCUCCUUAUAACUUUGCUGAAGACGAGCUGCGAUAGAGAAAGCGUUAAUGAGUAUUCAGCUGAUGCGCCAAGGGUACAUAUGAACCCGAUCGCAUACUUUGCUUUUGAUCCUCCACUUGGAUCGUCUGUUGAGUCACCAUGGAGCACGAGGAGGGUUGAGGAGAUGGUGAGGAGGACUAGGGCAUUGACAAUAUAAAGGGUGAACUUUUGCGAGUUGAGGAAGAAGGAGAAUAGCGCAUUGAAUGCCAAUUGGGAUGCACAAAUGAGGGAAUAAGUAGAGACGGGAAGGUAAGAUAAUCCAACCGAGUACAAGAAGCAGCCCAAGGCUAUUAGAAGGCCGAGAGAGACAUAAAUUGAUGCAAGGAUUAAAGUCGAGGGUUCUUUUGAUUCGGGAGUAGUACUGGUACUAAUGUUUGUGGUUGGAUUUGUUCUUUUUGUUGGGAAGAAAUAAUAGGGAAGGAGGAUAGGGAAGCCAGCAAGUUGUACUAGCGCUCCCAGCCAUUUGCUUUUGCCACCUUUGUCGUAGUAUAAUCUUGCCAACAGCGUUGCAGCUGAUUGGCCGGCGAUGACAAAGACCGUACAAAUGGCCAUCCUAAGCCACCGGUUGAAGCUCCUACGCCGGGGAAGCAGUGCUUGUUCGCGAGCAUCUGUGCACCCUGAAGAGUUUGCUUCAUUUGAGUCAUUAACUGAUAAAUAGAAAGAAGAAAAAGAUAUGCAAGGAUCAGUAUUUGAUCAAAUGUCUGUUUCUUGUUAUACUCAAUGCAUUAACACUUCGGCAGGAUUUGCUUCAUGAUCAAGGCCUCUCGCACUUGCUAUAUAUAAUAAGCUUUAUCAUAAGAAAAACCAAAUCCAAUUCUCACAGCUAAUAACAGUAAACUCAUUGAAUUAUGCGUAUCAGUAAUAAGAUCGCGUAGAAUUAGACUCACCAUCUAUGAUUUGUACCCUCUCCCCUCUCUGAUAAAAUAAGUUUUUUUAGACCGAGCAAUAGCAAGAAGAAAAAAGUGAGAAAAAAAAGGACCAUACGUACGUACGUACCUACAAUGUUGAGUUGCACUUCUUGAGGUUCUCCCAUGCCAGGGAUGAAGAAACUCUCUCAAAUGAGAGAGAGAGAGAGAGAGAGAGAGAGAGAGAGAGAGAGAGAGAGGUUAUUUGAGCUGAUCAGAUGAAAACUUGGCCAUGUAAUUUAACGUAAAUGUGGAGUGGGGUGUGGGUCAUGUAUCACGGCAAUGAAGAAAAAGCAAGUACGAAAAGCAUGCAACCUAGAAGUAGGAGUAGAUUCGUUGGGGUUUUCCAACUGAUCGACACUUCCCAUAUUACUUUGAUAACUACUUUGUUAAGAUGACACAAAUUUAAUCACGGAAGCUAAUCACCUUCUCUUUGUUUGAUUUACGCAUGAUUCAACUUAUUUUAAGUCGACUGUUAUCAAAGAGAGUAUAGAUUGCAAAGGAUAUAUGAACCUCGUCAAUUUGCUUGUAUAUGCAUUUGCAUACGCAAAACCAUAACGACAUGCAUUUAUAUUACGUGGGAUAUUGGCUUUCGAUUGUUGCAACUCUUAAAUCAAUUAGUUGUUGGUCGAGCGAUAUUUAUUUUCCUCCAAAAUAGAGGGGGUCUCAAAUUUGAAACCCUAUCCUUCAUUGAUAAACAAAACUUAGAUUAAAUUAAAUUUAAAAUCAUCUCGCAAUGAUAAACAACUAGUCUUGCCAGUGAUUUGUGACGAAUUCAUAUCCUCUACGUAUCUUUGUGUUUGGAGCUGGCGGACAAGAGAAUUUAGACCACUUAAUUUAAAUCAUGCAGUCCUUAUUAGCUCAUCACAUUGGCUCACCUCACACAAAAACAAGCUCUUAAACAGUCCGAAUCUCUUUCUCUCUCUUCCUUGAACAGCCAGGAUUGUUUAGUCCGUCGACUUCGGACACAGAGAUUUGUAGAAUAUCUUAAUUCACUUGUGACAGUAUUUUGGACAGUUUGAAAAUAUUAGGAAAAAUGAUUUAUGUACACUAUUUUUCUCCCUGUGCACCGUACGAUCCUUUUUUUAUAUACGUUAAUUAUAUUUUGCUUUAUUCAAUCUAAAUGUGAAAAAUAACAAAAGUGUGCAUGCGAGAAAAAAGUGUAAAUCAUUUCCGAAUAAUGGGGUAAUGGGGAACUUAAAACCCAUUUUAAAGAAAUUCGUGGGUUUUGAAUUGAUGUGCAUCCUGAUUUGUUAUUAACUUGGAUCUUUUCUCGGAUGCUCAUACGGUCACAUGGAAAGUGUGAAAUAAAAAAUAUGGAACACUUUGUUUCUUAAGAAUUUCUACGAAACAUUGUCAGUCUGAAUGUGUUAAAAAAAUUAACAGUUAUGAAAUGAACAGUUGAUUUUGUUUAAUCAUACAAAAAUGACUAAACGACUCCAAAACAAAUGAAUUUUCUAAAAAUAAUAUUUCGACAAUGAUAAAGAGAAUGAACGGUUCUACUAUGACAUUUUGUAUGAUAAAAUAAUGCCACGCAGGGAAGGACGACUUUCCUCCGUUCCGAGAAUGAGGGAAGUAUUGGAUACAGUGGACCAUUUUAACAAUAAACAGCAGAUUCAGAUUGCAUUGCUCACGAACUUCUGAACUUUGAUUUAUCACAAACAGCACAUCUAUGUCACAGAGAUCUACAAUUUCUUCAAGGAUUUAACAAAACUGUGGGGAAAAAGAAAAAGAAGAUACAAAGCAAACAGCUAUAUAUAUUUUCUAAAGAAUUCUUCUCACUACUGUCGCUUCCUGCUUCCGGCCCUCCUACCAAACUUUCCAAAGGCAAAUCUAACAUCCACAUCCAAGCUUUCAAGCAGCAACGGAGAGUUUGCCUUUCUCCUCGAUACAAAAAAAUGUUGGAACUGCAAGCUUUUGCAGGCUAUAUUCGCAACCGACGUCUUCCAUUUCCCUUAUUGAAAUUCUUUCUAUAUUUGCACAUCCAACAGGAAACAUCUGUAUAACCCACUUUUGGGUCUUGAAUCGUUAAGCCUGUAAGAGUAAAACCCGUUAAUAUAUGAAACUGAACACGACAGCAAGUUUUGAAACUUCUCAAUAAAUCUAAAUCACAGAAGUUCUGCACAGCAUCUAAGAAAUAAGAAAAAGUGAGCACAGAGCAGAAAGGUUCUUACAGUUCAAUGAGGUAUCUGAACAAGAAUGAAUGAGACAAAAUACAAACAAGUAAAAAUGGCAGCCCCCGCGAGAAAAUUAUGAAGCAGCCUUUGGUUGUCUUUGGUGGGUACAAACACUGUCUUAAGCGUAUUGGUUAACUCGAAAAUCCGAUGAGAUACCUGCAGGACCAAGUCAACAGAACAGCAGGCACCAGGUGAGAAUUUGUAAGCACUGUUGGCUUGCAAAAUUUUAAGGGCUAAAUGAAGAUUGAAGAUUUUCUUACCAAAACAUAGAUGGCGGUUGUCAGCAUGAAGUUGAGCAACGGAUAUUCUGGAAUGACAGAGAGAAGCCACUUAGGCUGUCCAUUAGGUGUGUUUGUUCUGUACACGAGUAAAGGAAAAUUUUCAUGAGUUCCUUAUGAAAAGAGAAAGAAGCAUUUGUAAAGCACAAAAGAAGGCAUUUGUAAAGACUCAGAUGUGCAUUCCACUGGUGAAAAAACGUACGACUUAGUGGUCAUAGUUAAUGAAAUAGAAGUAUCACGUACCUCAACCAGAUGUGGAACUGUGAAAUAUAGGUCUCCAAAGUAAUCUUCCCAAGCCACCUAGCAUAACCGAAAUGAAAUUGUACAGACAAAAUGAGUCAGCAAAACCUUUCAUAAACACAAAAAACCACUUACGUCUGAACAAUUACUAACCCUACAAAAGGUACUGCUGUGUUUGACUUUCAGAUAAGAAUACGUACGCAAAGAGAGUCAAAGAGACACCCCGCAACUGCUGAGUAAAGUUCCGCAAGCAUAUAUAUACACUGAAAUCACAAUAAGUAGAGGUGAUGGUAAGUCACUAAGAUGAACAGAAAAAUAAAUAACCGAAAAUUGUAUGUGCCAUCUGAUAAAACUCCCAGAGAAUAAUUCCAUUUAAUACGAAAAAGAAACAAAAUAACACGCACGUUAUCGGAAUCCAUGAUGUGUAGGGGUGCAAUUUGUUGUAUGAAACCUUGUCCAGCUUGUAAAUAUAUUCAUACCACAGAUAACCAACCUAACAGUGAAAUAAUGAGCAUGAGAUCACAUUACAAGAUUAAAACAUUAGCCAUUAUAUAUAAGCAGGCAAUUACCACAACGGAAGAAACUUACAAAUAUAGAACUGGAAAAUAUUCCUGCUUUGAUUGAGACUCUCCUUAUGGUAUCAGAUUCCUCCAAUUUCUCCAUCCAUUUCUCCACCUAAGAGAUAUUACACUUAAAAUCUCAGCAGGUGGAGUAUCAAGAAAGCAAAAGCAACCAGAUAUAGAGAUUCAAGGGAUUACAUUAGGAUGAUAAUAGGCAUACAUCAUUCCAAUGAUCCAUAUGUAGCGAUCAAGUCCAGAUCUAAAAUGCCAUUCAUGCAGACGAUGGAGAUCUGGUUUAGCAGGAUCAGUAUACCCUGCACGGUAGGGAACAAGGACAAUAAGUUUGAGCAAUGGGUGAACAGUAAGCAAUUCAUGCACAGAAACAAUUCAAGAAUCCCAUAUCAACCUUUUCUUCAUCUUCUUUAUAUAAAGAAUCUCAAAUCAGUUUAAGACCUAUAUAUACAAGCUAGAUUUUUUUUUUUUUGGCCAAAACCUAAGCCCCUUAAAAGUAUUUGAACAGGUCAACUAUUUAAAGUUAUUCAAUAUUCAUGCAAUACAUAUAAAUAACUCACAAGAGGAUGACUAUCUUUUAUUAGUUAUAAACUGUUUUGUCUUACAAUAUUGGCCAAAGUUUCUGAGUAAUGAGCCUGCCCAAAAAUAAAAAUUGAAUAGCACAAAUUAAAGACUCUUGGAUGAGUGUAAUAAAAUUUUAAAAGUCCUUAGUUUUCCAACUGUAUUUUUUUCUUUUGGGUUGAAUUUCCAACAGUGAAAAACAUAAUAUAAAAAAAUUAUAAAAAAAAAAAAAAAACCAGAAAGCUGAACGGGGUUACUCACCCAAUAAGAAUGAUAAUGGAUGAAAGACUAAUUCAAACACUCCAGGUAUUUCCCAAAUCAAGAUAACCGCAAGAAAGCAUCCGAGAAUCUUCAAAGCCAUAACUGAUCUGAUCUCAUUGUACUUGCUAAAGAUGCCAAGGGCUCCAUACACCAUAAGAGUAUACAGAGUGUGCAUUGGACAGAUGUAAUAGAGCAUAUAGUCAUUGUUAAGAACAAUACAGCAAAACGCCACAAAAAAAUUCAGCCGCCACAUCAUCUGCAUAGGACAAUAAAGAAUACAAGCAUUUCAGAUCAUUGUCAUAAUACUCACAAGGACAAUUGCGAGAAUAUACUGCCUAGAACUACACUUUACCUGAGCAAAGCGGGCGAGGCUAAAAUCCUUUCUAAUGUAGUAAUAGGAGAAGUUUCCAAAUCCAGUCAUCCAAACAUAUGCAGCAAUAAAGAUGCGUAUUGCAUUGUAAAUCUCACUAGCAGCAAAGUAAUGGUACAUUAGAAAUAGGACCUGCCAAGAAGCAAAAGAGAUGAUUAUACUGAUAGUACAUUCAUAAAUUAAUCAUUAUAAACAGCAUAGUGAUCAAACUGAGCUCUAUAUAUAACAAAGUUUGAUGUUCAACUAGACGAAAACUAAAGAGUAGCGUUGUUGGGUUUCGCAACUCAACUCUGAUAAAAAACUAAAUGAAUAAAAGCCAAUCAAAUCUACAGAUUCAAUCUAGCAUAUAGUAUCCAAAUUUAAGUUCAACCAAUAACAAAAAUAUCAAAGGAUGACAUAUGCUCGUUCGAGUUAGAUGAGCAUGGACGGUUGUCACAAUACAAACACCUGAACAGUAAAAAUAACAGUGGCCGGUCACCACGAGUAUAAGUUCAGAAUUUCCCUCCUAAAACAAAAGAGAGAAGAAAUACCAAGAGCACACAAUAAGGAAAUAUCUGUACCCUACAAUUUACGAACUUAGAGAAGAGAACUUGCCUGCAUCCACCCUUUCCAUUCCUCAGUCUGAUGCCGAUUUAGGUAAAGUAUGGAUUUUCCAGAAAAUGCUGAUUUGUCAGUAUGUUUUUUCAAAGAUGUCAUUGCUGAAACUAUGACAAGGAUAAGGUACAGGAAGAUGAAAAGGUCCCGAUUGUAUUUCUGUUCAAAGAAGAACCACAUAACUAAUCAAUAUUACAACAGUAAAACCAGCUUAUUGUUCUUAUCAGUACAUAUCAGCAUGUCAUGAUCUGAAUAUAAAAGAAAGGAACUUCGUGUUUAUCAAUGUGUGACAAUAGUAACACUGCCAUCCCUAACUUUUCUUUAAUUUAAGCCAUAUAAAAGAUAGCAUCCUUUUAUAUCAGGAUGUGAAACGAUGAGCAAGAUAGGUGAACUCAGGGCACUUAGGCAGAAAUAUCAGUGAGAACAAAAGGAAAACAUGGAACUUAGGCAGAAAUAUCAGUGAGAACAAAAGGACAACAUGGAAAUAACUAAUAGAUUAGGACCUGAUCCGAUGAUAAUAGCAUCUGUGCAAGUUUUCCAUAUAAGUAACUAGUCGUUAUUUAAGAAUACAUUCAGGAAGCAGACAAAUGUACCUUCGUAGAAUCUCCCAGUAUAUUUGUGCGGUCACAUAUGUAGAAAUAGAACAGAAUUGCACCAAGCUCAGACCUACAAUUGUCAGGCAUUGAGUGUAAUAUAAGUAUAACAUAAAUAAGAAAUUUGGCCCUGAGAAGAUACAAAUUGUACUAAUUAGUAAUUACUUACAUGACUCUAAGAGUUGCUCUGUUUUCAAGUAGAAAAGAGUCAUCCAUAUUCAGAAACCUGGAAAUUCAUGAGAAGUGGAACGUGAGAAAGACUUUCAUAGUAAACUCAACAUGAAAAUUCAAUGAAGAUACCGUAUAUUAUAGAUGGUAACCUGAUUAAAUUUAUUUUGAUGGAUGAACUGUUAAACUUUGUAGAUGCUGAUCUUGAAAGGCCUCCUUCCAGCAAAACAGCUCGAUCAUCUUCCUUGAUUGUCUCCUCUCCCAACUCAACCAGAUUAGUAUCUGAAUGACUACAAUAGCAUGAAAAACAAAACAAAAAACUUAGUUGUUCCGCAUCAGAGAUUAUUGGCUGGUAACACCAUAUCUUUGAAAAUCCUUGUAUCUCAUUUGUAAUCAAAGACAUAUCUAAAGCACUAUAAACACUCAUCCAGCGUCUUCGUAUAUACUUAAUAAUCCAAAUUUGAUUACUUAUUUUGUGUAGACUAGUUGGGUAAAGAUCAAUACAUAGAAGUCAUCCCAAUUUGAUCAUAUUUAUCACUUCAUAUCACCAGUUUGAAGGUACGGAACUUACACUUUAGGAUGAGAUGAAGAUCUUUUAUACUCCAAGUACUCUGAAUAUAUCCAUGUGACAAAAACUGGGAUGAUUCCAAGCAAAAAUGACACCUGGAGAAUCAUAUAGAAAGCUUCAGUAAAUUUGCUCACUCAUUUAGUCCUUACAUUAUUGAUACCAAAACAAGAUCUUUCAUAGCGUUUGAGACAAAUCUGUUUAACUCAAAAGUGUAGCUAAUUUGAUUACAUAACAUCUAGAAUUGCACCAAAGUCCCAAACACAUCCAGGCACGUAGGACUAUUGUGUUUCCCAUGAACCAACAGAAACAAAGGCCUCUUGGUUAACAUACUACUAGAAGAAAAACAAGAUCCUUGAUCCAUUUGAGUAGAAAAUAAAAUUAUUAAGGAUGGUUUGAACAGAGCCAUUGUUGUGUAAUGCUGCAUUAUGUUUGUUACCAAGAUACAAGAUUUGCUACUUUUAACAGCUCUGGUGAUCAGCGGUGGCGGAAAAUCAGGAAGCAUUCAUAUACAGGACUCCUUUUCUAUGAGCUACUAUAAUACCGAAAUGCAGUAAUCUAACCAACCACUACAAACGGCAAUGCCAUUACGAAAUAACACAACUUUCUUCGGAUCAAGAACUUAAAACACAAAGCAAUUUCAUAUUGUUGAACAAAAAUCAGAAACCAGUAAUUCACACACAUUCACAGAUCCUGAUCAGAACUGAAAAAUAUCUUGGAAUUCAAUCGAAAUCAGCAGAAGAUCAAAAUUACGCAUAAGAAAUGAACAGUCUUGGCACUGAAACUGAACUACCUGUCCAGGCGUAACUGGCCCAGCGUCCACCAUUUCCAAAAUCCCCAAAUCGGCUCCGAACUGCAAAACCCAAAUCGAAAUUCAACAAUAAAAAAGAGUAGCAGAAUUGGGAAAUACGAAGCGUAGAUCGACGCAGCGAAAAGUACCUAGUUGAAGGAAGUUCAGAGACUGACUACUCUAUCGAACAUAGGGGAUAAAUAUGAAAACCUAGCUGAAGAUCGAUGAAGAAGAAGAAGAAGACGAUGUCGUUUAGGCUGUUGCUUGAAGAAUACGGGAAAUGUCGGAAGGUACGUCCCUCUCCAGUGAAGUUUGUUUUUUCCACGAGCGGUUGGUGGUGGUGGUGGUGGUGGUGGUGGUGGGGUGGUUGUUGUGGUUUAGUUGGCCUUUUGUUUUCUUUACAAGACAUACUACACGUCUGGAAAUUGAAUUUUCUUUUAUUUUAUGAUAAAUGUUAACUACUUUUUUUAUUAUCUUUUUUUAUUUCUCGUCACCUGUGUGAAUUUUAUUUUAAUAAAUUAACUAAUUUAGUAAAAUUAUAAAUUUUCCACCUUAUUUUGUUGGUGAAAUUCACUUUUCGAGUGAUAAAAAGAGAGGUAGAUAAAAAGAGGCAAAUACGAAAGGUAAAUAGUAUUGCUCUUGUUUUAUUAUAUAUUUUAGAAUUGUUAGUAUGCCUUAAAAUUCUCAUUUUAUUGUCUUUUCCUUUAUAUAUAGAGAUUAAAACAUAAUUAAGUUGGUAAUUUUCAAGUGAUAAUUGGGAUUUGUUUACUAUUUAGGACUAAUCUAAUUAAGACAAUUAAUUUGCAUCAAUAACUACUAAUGACCACAUCGUUGACUAGAUUUCUUAAUAGAAAUUUUGAACUAAACUGUAUGGGGAGUAUGAUUAUUUCCCUUCCUAUUUCUCUUCCUUCUCCUUAUCUCAUACUUUUUAUUUUGUCUUUCUUUUUCUAUAAAAAAAUUAAAAUAAGAUGUUAACAUGAUUUAAUCGUACCCGUUCAAAUAGGAGGGGAAAGAAUGAUAGGGAAAAACAGUGGAGAGAAAAUCAUACUCUAUUGUAUAGAGUGGUCUCAAUUUUAACAAGAUAUAAGUCAAAUGUUGUCAUUAAAUUAUCACACCUUGAAAGGACAUUUCAAAAAUUAGAAGUGUCAAGUAAUUUUUGUGCUGAACUAAGAAAAGUAUAUGGUUUAGUGAGAAAGGUGGCAUUGGAAAGGAGUGUAUAGCACGACUAAAAUACAUUAUGAAUGGCGCCAAUCAUGGUACGCGAACAACAUUGUUGAUUAACUAAUAAUUAAGAAAUUAAUUAAAGGACCAAUUGACCAUUAAGAUUAUGACUUAAGUUUGGAGGGCAGUCUACCAGCUCAUUAAGCUUUGGUAAUGCUUAAUGAUAUUGAAUGAGUUUAAAUUUUAAGAUUUGUAUUUAUCCACUACACAGAUCUCAAAAUUUAAACUUAUUUAACGAUGAUAAAUAGAGUGGUGAACAUCACCAUCACUUGAAGUUGGUGAGCAAAAAAUAUAUAAUUAUGUGCAUAUUAAGGAACCCACCUAAUCACCACCCUUAGGUAAUGGUCACCAUAUAUCACCAUUAGAUUAUUUUAAAUUUCGAGAUAUGGGUAGUGGAUAAAUACAAAUCUCAAAAUUUAAACUCAUCCAAAUGUGAUAAAUAGGGUAGUAAUUAUUACCACCACUUGAGGCUAGUGAGCAAAAAUACACCCUUUUCUUUAUCCAUUUUGGGUGUAGGCUUUGGGUAUAAUUAGCUUCCUAAUGCUUUUAUUACAUUUUAUGCUUGGACAGUUUAGGCUUUGGGUAUAAUUAGCUUCCUAAUGCUUUUAUUACAUUUUAUGCUUGGACGGUUUCUGCUAAUUUAAUACCAUAAUUUGGUUGAUACCUUGACAAACUUGACAAAUGGGACAAAUAUCUAGUAACUCAUACUUAAAUUUUUUUAUUGCAUGAUACAAAAAUAUUGUCAUGUGAUGUUUCUUAAGAAAACAUAAGUUUAUCAAUGUUUACUUAUUAAGAAUAUGUAAAGAAAAACAAAUUGCGAACUUAAAGACAGAAAAAUAAAGAACGAUCAUUGAAUCAAAUGCUCUCGUGUUUGUUUAAUUUACGGUUUUAAGUGUAUUUAAUUAUGAGUUUUAGAAAGUGAUCCAUUUAUUUUUUUAUUUUUAGGUAUUACUAAAGGUCGAAAAAUUAGAAAUCGAAAUAGUUUCUUUACCUCUCAUACCUAUUUCUGUUAAGCAAACAUAUCAUUACUUUCUUUUGUAGUAGACACCUACAAUAAACUAACUUUGUUUUACGAGCACCACAAUACCAAUAUGUACAUUAGUAUUGUUCAAGAAGAAAGUACUUUGUCAGAUGCAUAAAACUUGCCUUGUAAAUCAAGCAACUAGAUUUGUACUAAUCAAACAUUAAUUAAUUAAGUUUAAGGUCGCAUAUACUGAUCUGAUUUCCGUGUGGGUUUUAGUGUUAAUUACAAGGUGAUGCUUGCUCCCGGCAGAGGUCCCUCUACGGAUCACCUUUCUAUACCAAACAUUUUCUUGACGUGUUAAUUAGGCGAUGCAUAUUGCAGAUCCAAGUUAAAGGCUUCAAAACGUAGACCAUACACAUGGGAUCCAAAAUAUAUUAAAUAAACUAAUAUUAUCAUAAAGUUUUAUUAAUUUAUUAAAUCAAGAAAUUAAGACAAUACUUUCUAUAUUAGCACCCCAUAAAAUAUUGAAUGCACCCAACAUUAAAAUUUAAUAUUAAAUAACUUAUUUAUCCUACUAUGCAAUCAUAAUUUUGACCUUAUUAGGUUAAAAAUAAAUAAAAAAAUUGUAUAUACACUCCAAAUCACUUUUAACGUAUAAUUUAUCUUCUUCAACUAUCAAAACCCAUCCGACCCUCCAUUUUUGAACAAAACUUUAACCAAUGAAACUACAAACAUCUUGAUUGAGAAAAUUUAAUUUUGACGAAUGAAACACGAAAUCGAUGUUUCGGAAGCUUCACAUAAGGUAAGACUUCAUAUUAUUUAUUGUUUUAGUGAUUUUGACAACAUCGAUAAUUAUUUAAUCUUGCUUUUAAUGCGUUAUUCAAGCUUCUAUGUUCGUAUUCAUCUUUUAGGGACCACAUGGAUUACAUGAAGAAUUAAAUACCUAAAAUUACCAUCAAAUAUUAAAAUUAGACGACAUGGGUUUUAAUCGUGGAAUUGAAAACAACCCACAUAUGCUUUAAAUCCCAGGCGGCAUCUUUUGUCAAAAUUUUAGUCGGCAUUAUUUGUCCAAAUUAAAAGCUUUAUAAGAUUUGAGAAAUGUGGGGGUGUAUAGAAAAUAUGGGGUACGUAUAGAAAAUGUAAGGUGUAUAUUAAGAAUGUGGGGUGUGAGGGUAUUAUGGGGAAGUAAGUGCAGUGUAUUAAGAUAAUUUUUAAUUAAAAAAACAAAUAUGGGGUGUAUUAAGUAUGUGAGGUUUAUUCAACAAUUUGUGGGUUGUUAAUAUAAUUUUGCAUGGAUGUGCAUGUUAUUUUUUUCAUCAAAAGUUUAUGUUAUUAUUAUAAAAUUUUAUUCAUUUAUUAAAUAGACUCUACAUCAUGUUUUAUAUUGGGUAAUGUUAAUGACAUCAAAAUUUUAAACCAAAUUUACAAACCAAAUCAUAUGUCACCAAUAAAAAAUAAGCACGUUAACUAACGCUUAAGUAAUAAUCCAGUCAUCAACAACCAUAUCAUUUGGGGUUGCAAAUUUUGUUUAAAAAAUUUGGUUUCCCUAGCAUUAUCCGAAAGUGAAAACUAUCCAAGUCAAUGUAUAGUGAAACAGAGAAGAAGAAGAUGGAGGUUUUAAAAGAAAAUGAAAGCUUGUACUGAUAUAUUCUAAGUUGAACAAAUUACAUAAAAUGAGAGAGUGUAUUAUGUAUACUUUCCUACAAAAUAACUAACUCUGCAACCUUUAACAAACUCUCCUAAUAGUUUUCCUCAACUAGACCAAUCUCCAUCAUUCAAUUAUAAAACUAAUCUCCACCAUACAUCUGUAUAUUUUGAUUUCAAAGUAGGGUGCCAUAAACUAAAUAAGCACAAGGUUAAAACUUAGUUAGUUAAGAGCAUUCAUUCAAGCACUUGAGUUUAUUAAUUCCGAUUCUUCUUUCCCAAUAUCCCUUGUAUAUCAAUUAGUGGUCCACUAAUCCCAAACCAUCAUAUACGAAUGGUUUACAUGGAUCUAUAUGCUAAUAGAAUCUGUGAGAAAAUAUAUGAUCAAAAACAAGUUGAAGAAGUUUGUUCAUUGUGAUUCAGUUUGUAAAAUAGUGUUAACAAUUAAUGGAGGAAAACACAACCACCACGAUCCUAAGGUUGAAGCCCAAGUGAAUUUCACAUUGGUUCAAGACCUCAAAGGCCCAUUCCUUAUGACUUUGCUUUCUUUGUUUGUAGCAAAUCAACUCAGUGCAUGCAUGCACAUAGAAAAUUGAAGUAUACCCUUCGGUUCUUCCUUAUUUAUAUGGAAAGGGAGAUGUCAUCUAAUCAGACAAUGACCAUUCGAAUACUGAUCACAAAAUUUCGAAAAUAAAUAUCUCUCACAGUUGUUGGACCAUCCUGACAUCUUGUAUAUUAUGAUCAUGUUUUUCUCAUAUUAAUGUAACUACUUUUGUCUCGUUCGUUUGAUUUUUAAUACGUGUGUGAUAUAUAUUUGCCUAUGUUAAAUUAAGUUCAUUGGAAACAACAUAAUGGAAUGGUUUGGUUUACAGAUUUUACUUUAAUCUUCAUUUUCAUAACAUAUAAUCUAAAUGCCAAAUAAAUAAAUAAAAAUUCUAACUUAUUCUGUGAAGAAAGUUGAUGUUCUACUAUAAAACCAACUAGUAAUAUGACAUUAGUCCAAUUACUUAUAAGUACAUGCAAUGUUCCUUAUUUUCUCAAUGUGGGAUUUAUACUCUCACCAUGCACGCUCACGUGUAACAAAUUUUCAUGCCUAACACGUGGAUAACACAAAUCGGUGACGUGGACCUCGUGUGGCCGUUGGGCUUAUACACUGGAUAACGUGCUUUGAUAUCAUGAAGAAAGUUAAGGUUCUACCAUAAAAUCAAUUGACAAUAUAAAGAGUAGCCUAAUUACUUAUAAGCACAUGCAAAAUUCUUUUUUUCUCGAUGUGGGGUUCAUACUCUCAUCAUUAUGUGAAAACAUAAUGGAUCCCUCCAUUAGAGUAUGAAGGGUUGUGGUUGUUAGGUGUAUAGCUAGUAUUGAUAAGGGGCCAAUUAUAUGAAUGUUGUAAGGAGAUAUAAAGCGGAAAUAGAGCUCUGUGUGUAUGACCACUAAGACAAUACAAUAGUGCAAUACAAUAGGGCAUUACAAUUGCACUCUCUAUUCCCAACACCCUCCCCCCCCCCCCUUCCUCAUCUCAUCUCCCUCCUUUUUCUUUCUCUGUCUCUCUCUCAAACACUCAUCUUCAGCAUUAAUCUUAACAUAGUUUCACAAGCCAAUACUGGUUAAAGCUGGUCCGAUUCAAUUAAUAACAUUUGACAAUGCAUGUGAUAUGAUGCCACGUGUCAGCAUCAUAUCAAUAGGAAUUGUAACUAAAUUUUGUAUUAGGUAGUCGUUUAGUUAGGUGAAUUGGUUACUUUUUGUAUAAGAUAGGAAUUCUAAGUGAUGAAGGAUAUGUUUUGUAAAAGUUGUUUCAGUCAAUAAAAAGUUACUUCUUACAUAUGAGUAAAAGUCGAAUAGGGGUCUUAACAUUGGUAUCGAGCUAGUACUUCGAUUCUCUCGAAUCCUUUCUCAGUGUAUAAUCCAUGGAGUCUCAUGUUUCCGAUUUGGAAUCGAAAUUGAUGGAUUUCCAUAACGAAUUUAGGGCCACGCACACCGAUUUCAAAGCAACCCAAGAUGUGUUUCUUCAACAGCUUCAGGCCUUGCUUGCUCGAAAUGGAAAUGGUUCAAGAAUUUCAGGUGAAUCGUUGGAAGAAACGCAAUUAGAUCCCAAUCUUCCAACGAAUCAAAACCCAAAUUUAGGCCCCAAUUUCCAUCGUCAUAAUGCGACCCCAAAUUCACGUCAACCAUUCAUCAAGAUGGAUAUUCCUUGAUUUAGGGACGAUAAUGAUCCCUUGGGUUGGAUAUAUAAAGCUGAGCACAAUUUCGACUUCUUCAACAUCGAAGAAUCCAAGAAAGUAAAAAUGACAUAUUUUCACAUGAAGGGUGAAGCUCUGCAAUGAUUUCAAUGGGCGAAUUGCAUUACCAAUUUCCCCAAAUGGGAAGAUUUCACGAAGGUUUUCUGUCAGGAAUUUGGACCUUCAGAGUUUGAGGAUUUAGCAGAGAUCUUGGUGAAGUUGCAGCAGACUGAGCUUUUGAGGGAUUAUAUUCUUGAAUUUCGUCGAUUGGUGAAUCGUACUCGAGAUAUUAACCUUCCUCUACUUAAGUCUUGUUUCAUUGGAGGAUUGAAGCCAUAACUACGACAUGAUGUCAAGAUUCUAAAACCAACAACCGUAUUGGACGCUACUGCUUAUGCUCAAUAGGUAGAUGCUAAGUUAUCAGAAUUAAAGGUGCAAUCUUUAUCUAAACUCCCUGCACCUUCAAUACUUAAUCGUCAAAAUCCAUUUCAGAAUAUCACAAACACUACCGUUCUUGAAUCAAAACCGAAGGUGAAUAAUAUGAGGAAAUUAACCCCUGAAGAGGUAGAAUUCUGUAGAAAAAAUGGGCUAUGUUUUCAUUGUAAAGAAAAGUAUGUCCGGGGUCAUUAUUGUGAGAAAAAACAGUUAUUAUUGAUUGAUGAUCUUCAUGAUAUAACCUAUGUUGAUUGUGAUGCAUUUGAGGAUGAAAAUAUCGAACCAAAGAUCACUGCUUAUGCGUUAUUUGGUACCCCACCUCCAAGCUCAAUUAAAACCAUGAAAGUCUUUGGGUAAUCAAUAAUUGUCCUAUUGUUAUUCUCAUUGAUUCUGGAAGUUCCCAUAAUUUCAUUGAUUCAUCCUUAGUUAAACGUUUAAGGGGACAAUUCCUUCAAUGUCAAAAUAGCUAAUGGGGUUAAGGUGACUACACAAGGUACUCUUGGUACUGUUUCCUUAAAAAUUCAAGACUAUCAAUGCAUAACAGAUAUGUAUGUUAUUCCUUUGGGAGGGUGCAAUGCUGUUUUAGGAGUGCAAUGAUUAAGAACUCUUGGUCCAGUGUUAUGGGAUUUCGAUAAGCUUUAUAUGAAGUUUAUGAAAGACAAUAAGACUUUCUGUAUUACAAGCCUAGAACCUCAUACAUACCACUUACAAGAUAUUUUUGCCUUACAAAUGGAGAAGUUGUUACAACAAUAGUCAACGGUGGGAGCAUUUAUUUACCACAUUCAACCUGAAAUGGUGGAAAAGCAACAAUCUUUAGAUUUAACUAAGGAACAGAAGAAGGACAUUCAGAAAAUAUUAGAAGAAUACAAUGUAGUAUUCUUGACUCCUAGCAGUCUUCCUCCUCACAGAAUCCAUGACCACAAAAUUCCAUUGGCAGAGGGCAAUAAACCAUCAAGCAGCAGACCUUGUAGAUAUAGUCCAUUGCAGAAGACUGAGAUCGAGAAGUGUGUGCAGGAAUUACUUGAAGCUAGGUUUAUCAGAGUGAGUAAUAGUCCUUAUUCUUCACCAGUGAUUCUUGUUCAUAAAAAAGAAAGAACCUAGAGGAUGUGUAUAGAUUAUAGAGGCCUUAAUUGGAUCACAAUCAAGGAUAAGUUUCCCAUUCCUCUCAUAGGUGAGCUACUUGACGAACUUUGUGGUGCACAUUAUUUCUCUAAGUUGGAUUUGAGAUCGGGUUAUCACCAAAUUCGGACGCAUCCUGAUGAUAUUGAAAAUACUGCGUUCAGAACACAUGAGGGCCAUUAUGAAUUUUUGGUAAUAUGCCAUUUGGCCUUACUAAUGCACCAGCAAUGUUUCAAAGCUUAAUGAAUGAAAUUUUUGGUAAUAUUCAUUAUCUCAGGAAGUUUAUCCUCGUUUUCUUUGAUGAUAUUCUAGUAUACAGCAGGACUUGGGACUCACAUUUGGAGCAUCUUAGAUUGUUAUUUGGGAUUUUACAAGCUAAUACUUUGUAUGUAAAAAAGUCUAAAUGUGCUUUUGGCCAGAGAACCAUAUAGUAUUUAAGACAUGUGGUCUCUAAGAAAGGUGUUACUACCGAUCUUUCAAAACUAGAAGCUAUUACCCAAUGUCCAAUUCCAAUUUUAGUUAAAGCUUUGAGAGGAUUUUUGGGUCUUACGGGAUAUUAUAGGAAGUUCAUUCCUAAUUUUGGUAAGAUAGUAGGUCCCUUAACUGCCUUGACUAAGAAGGCUAGCUUCAAAUGGAUUGAAUAAGCUAUUACAGCUUUCCAAUAACUCUAGGAAGCUAUGUUAUCGCCUCUGGUUUUAGCAUUACCUGACUUUAGGCAAACCUUUAUCAUUGAAAACGAUGCUUCAGGCCAUGGAAUCAUAGCUCAUUUGCAAAAAAAUGGAUGACCUAUUGCGUUUACUAGUAAGGCAUUGAGUCCGAGGAACCAAUCUCUAUCAGCUUAUGAAAGAGAGAUGAUGACGAUAGUUCAUGCCAUCAAGAAAUAGCAAUCUUGCUUGGUUGGGAGGCAUUUUAUAAUCAAAACGGAUCAUCACAGCCUCAAAUAUUUCCUACAAAGUAGAGCUCAUACACAUUUUCAACAGAAAUGGGUAUCAAAAUUGUUGGGUUUUGACUAUGAAAUUCAAUACAAGCAAGGUUGUGACAACCAAGUUGUAGAUGCACUUUCCAGAUUACCUUUAUCUUCUGCAGAAUGUUCUAAAUUAUUUUUGCACAAUCAAGAUUGCUUAGAGCACACUAAGUUCAUGGCCAUCUCUUAUCCAUACAUGAGUUGGAUGGAUGAUAUUAGACGACAUGUAGAAUCUGAUGAAUGGAUUAUUGCUAAAACUAAACAAGUUUUAAGCAAUAUGACUGAUUCUGCUCCUAUUGGCAACUUGAGGUUUCAUGUGGACAAUGGGUUCCUAAAGUAUAAGAAUAGGAUUGUUCUUAGUCCUCACAGCCAAUGGAGACAAAAGAUAUUUAACGAACAUCAUAGCAGUCUAGUGGCAGGCCAUACAGGUUUCCUCAAAACCUACAAGAGGCUUUCUAAAACAUUCUACUAGGAAGGUAUGAAGAAAGAUAUUAAAGAUAUGGUGGCUAGUUGUGCAGUGUGUCAACAACACAAAUAUGAAACUCUUUCACCAGCUGGGUUGCUUAAACCUCUGCCAAUUCUAUCUCAGAUUUGGUCUGACAUCUCUAUGGAUUUUAUCAUUGCUCUACCACCUUGCAAAGGUAAAACGGUGACUUGGGUUGUAGUGAAUAUGCUAUCAAAAUAUGCACAUUUUGUAGCAUUGGCUCAUCCUUACACUGCGUCUUCUGUGACUAAUCUUUUUUGUUGAGAACAUCUUCAAAUUACAUGGCAUGCCUACAUCUAUAAUUUGUGAUAGAGACCCUGCUUUCCUGAGUGGACUUUGAAAGAAUUUUUCAAAUUGCAAAGGUCAUUCUUGUGUUAUAGCUCUAGUUAUCAUCCUCAAACGGAUGGAUAAACAGAGGUGCUGAAUAGAUGUUUGUAGACCUACCUGCGCUAUUUUUGCAGUCUUCAACCUAUAAGAUGGGCAUUUUGGCUACCAUGGGCCGAAUGGAGUUACAAUACCAACCAUCACACUGCCACUAAUAUGAUGCCUUAUGAAGUGGUAUAUCCAAGCUCCUCCUGCAGUUCCACUUUAAGAAGCUGGUACUACUAAGUUGGAGAUGGUGGACAGAAGUUUGCAGGAGAGGAAUCGAGUUUUAUCAUUACUCAAGGCCCAUUUCGAGGCAGCUCAGAAUAGAAUGAAGAUUCAAGCUCAUAAACACCGAACCGAUAGGGAUUUUGAUGUUGGUGACUUGGUUUAUCUGCGAUUAAUACCCUAUAAACACUUGUCUCUAGCGUCUCACCCUUUUAACAAGUUGCAACCUAAGUUUUAUGGUCCGUUUGAGGUAUUAGCAAGGGUUGGUUCAGUGGCUUAUAAGUUGAAGCUACCUACUAACUCCAAACUCCACCUUGUCUUUCAUGUUUCUUGCUUAAAGAAGCAUUUGGGUCCUGCAAUACAACCUACAAUUUUUUUUUGUCGACAAUACAACCUACAAUUCAACUUCCAGUAAUUACAGAAGCUGGAAUUCUAUAGGAUGUGCCUAUUCCAAUUUUGGAAAGGAGAAUGGUUAAAACAGGAAAUGCCGAUGUGACUUAAGUGCUAGUUCAAUGGAAAAAUCACUCAAAGUAUGAUGUGACUUGGGAGGUGUAUUCUGUGUUGAAGACCAAAUUUCCAGCUGCCACAAAUCUUUGAAGCCUUGCAAUUAAAGGGUCAUUUUAGGGGGGGGGGGUAUUGAUAUGAUGCCAUGUGUCAGCAUCAUAUCAAUAGGAAUUGUAACUAAAUUCUGUUUUGGGUAGCCGUUUAGUUAGGUGAGUUAGUUACUUUCUGUAUAAGAUAGGAAUUCUAAGUGAUGAAGGAUAUGUUUGGUAAAAGUUGUUUCAAUCAAUAAAAAGUUACUUCUUACAUCUGAGUGAAAGUCGAAGAGGGGUCUUAACGGCAUGAUCAUGUGGACAUGAGACAUACCUAUAUUUUGGAGACAGUAGACCCGCAGCCUACAUAAUACGAGAAGGAAUUUGUAACAAUUGCGUACUAUUUGCAAACAAAUUAUUCAACGAGUUAUAAUAUGCACAGAAACUAGAAGAAAAUUAUUAUAUAUUAAACAAGUAAAAAUCCAACACUGCUGCAUGAAAGCAAGGCUGUCACGGCAAGGAUCUUGCGUUACAUUAAUCCGUAAAUAAGAAAAACCUGUUGCACCACUUGUAUAAUACAAGCAAUUAAACAUGAGGCAUGCAAUCCUCAAUUCACAUGCACAACGUUCUCGCGAACCACUAUACAUAAAUAAACUCAUCAUCUUACAAAUCCAUUUGAUUUCCUAUAUAUGGUAGCAGUUCGAGCUAGCAAAUUACCUCCAAAAUGGAAGACCUAAAAGCUUACACUGCGAGAUUAGAGAAAGAGUCAAACUCUCUUUGCCGAUAAUAAGUGCUCUAUUGCCAAAGCUAUCAGCAGUUCCUGCCUCACAAAUAUGAGUGGAAUUAAAAUGAUUAGAAGUGAAGGGUACGUAGAUAUGCAACCUAGCUAGCUCACUAAUUAAAAAUAUAUGUCAAGGAUGAUCAAUCAAGAUCAUGAGACUAGCUACUAUAUAAAAUAAUUAAUCGUAUCUACAAAUUAACGAGCUAGAGAUCGAUCGCGAGGGAGAUCAUCAAGGCUCUUGUUUGAGGAACAUGGAAGGAACCAAGUCCUGCAAAAGUCCAUACUGAUCAGCAGCUCCAUGAGGCAGUUGAUACUGCUGCAGAUGAUAAUUAGGGUUUCGUGACGAUCCCUGAUUAGCAUUGUUACUGAUCAUGUAUUGGGGCAUUUGAAACAAGAAUUCCUGAGAAAAGGCAGAGCUCGGGCCACCACCAGCCAAGGUUGAGAAUGUACGCGUGGCGGGUGCUAGGUUUAGCAUAGAAGGUGGGAACAAUGCUGCAGCCGCAUUUCCUCUAAGGGUUGCUGGAAGUGGGUGGUUGUGCUGACCUUCGUAUGUCGUAAUCACAGUGGAUGGGUCCUCGUACGACCUCUCUACGCGUUUCUUGACCCCGCAUUUUUGUGUCGUACACCGGUAGUAGCUUCUGCAAUUGGCGACCGCAGUACAUAUAUAAUUAGAGAGUCGUGCUAAAAUCAAACUUAGAUUUUUUCUGUCAACAAAUUUUUUAUUUUUACUACCAAACAAAUUAAGAUUUGGCGGAUUAAUUAAUCUUGCAAUAAUCAAAUGGUUUUUUCUUGAUUUAGUUUAGCUUCAUUACCCGUAACUCAGAAUUUGCGAGAUUAAGAUUACUUAAUAUAUAUAGGACUAAAUUUUGGGAUCAUAUUAUAAAAAAUUAGUGAACCUUUGGUUUUACUGAUUAAUAAGUCUUAUGCAGGACUUUUUGGCAUAAUUUGAUGGAGUAAGAUUUAAAAAAUAAAUUAAAUCGCUGAAAACUAUAGCACGUGAAUGAAACAAACUAGUCAACUUUCGAAUAUAUUGCUUAUUUUUCCUGUUUAAGGGGUUUUUUUGGUGGUUUCUUUCAAGUGCAAACAAAGAAAUGAGCUAGAAAUUACACAUUAUAUAUCCAAAUUAAUUACCUUGGAUAUGGGCUAUUUUUCACAGCUUUCUGCCCAUAUUUUCUCCAUCUGUAUCCAUCUUCUAGAUGAUCAACCUCACUCUUGGUCAUGAAGGCAAAUCGUGGCUCUCUUUGCUUUUUCUCUCCCUUCUUCUUUGCUAGUUUGCUCCUGUUGGUUAUCAAAUAUAUCAAACAUGAUCAGAUCAGGUAUAUGAAUAUGUCAUUAAUUACUUAGACAGUAUCCUUGUUCUUUUAAUUGAUACAAGCUAUAUGAGAUAAGGGAGAUUCGAACUCAAGAUCUCGAAUGCAAGAAAGAUUGCCCUUAACUAACUGAAGCAACCUAGACAAUAUUAUAUGUAUUCAAUUCAAACUUACACUUUCUUAGAGCUAUCUCCUCCAUCUUCUGAUGACCCUUUUGGCUGCCUAUCUUUCUUAUUCUUACCACAGUCCUCAUCAGCACCAGCCUCAGCUGAAGAAGACGACAUGGAAGAGUUUGGCGUCAAAGGAGUUUCCACAUCACCGCCUCCGCCACCACCUGAAUAUCCAAGAUGAUUAGCAGGCUUUUGAUCGCCUUCAAUAGACGAAAAUAGUGCUUCAGAGGUCGAAGAUGACAAGCCAAAAGCCGUUGCAAGUGAAUUAUAGUCCAUAGAUCCUUUCAAACACUCUGUUAAGUUCAUGUAUGAAGGAUUCACAUCAAACCCUUGCAAAUUUGGCUGGUUGUUGAUGCUGACCAUCCCACCAUCAUGAUCUUCAUACUGAAAUAGGUCAUGGUAGUAAAGGUCUUUCGGUUCCUGAUCAGACAUGGAAGAAGAACAACAACAAAGACAGAAAGAAGAAAGAAGGGUUUUGGUUUGGAGGACUACUACUCUUUGAUUCAAGACUUGAAAUAUCUGUCUCUCUAAAUGUGGUUUGGUUUGGAAAAUACAUUAUGAUUUGAUCAUUAUAUAUAUAAUAAUGGGGAGAGAGAGAGAGAGAGAGAGAGAGAGCCUUUAAGUUUGAAUGGACUUUGUUAGCUAUCACUUUUAUGGAGGUUGACAAAGCACCUUAAAAUUGAGAAGACAAAAAAGUGCCUCCUCAAAUGGAAACAUUUUUAGUCCUUGCUACUCCGUUUAUUCAUACGAACAAAGUAACAAUAUUGAAGGCAUAUUCCUUUACAACAUUAAUUGAUCAUACACUUAUUACAUCAAUUAGUUUGAUUAAUUCUUAAUUCAAGGUAUCGUAUAAUACGAUCAUUAUAAACAAAACAUUUACUUAUCUCAUAUCAUCUAAACUACUAUCUUACUUUAUUAAUAUAUGUGACCAAACAUGCCUUGAGGAUACUCCUUGCAUAAAAGUUUAAGGAAAAAAAGCUAACAUAAUUUCCAGAUACAAAUUAGUUAUUUUCUUAAAUUUUGACAUUUCAAGACGAAAAAAUGAAGUAAAUUAAAAUCAGUAAAUCUUUUCUCAUCAAACUAUUAGAAAUGUAAUUAGAACAAAUAAAAUAAAAUCCAACAAUGUAAUUUUGUUGCUCACUAUAAAUAUCUCCAAGUAAAAAGGAAAAAGAAGUAGGGUAAAUGUUUGUAACACCAAUAAUUGUACAAGGUUAAUUUGAAAUGCCUCGUUUGGAUAAUUUACAUGUGUGGUCAAUUGUUCAAAGUUCGUGUUUGGAAUAUUAGGCAACACGUGGCACAAGUGGCACCGGUAUUUGACCGUAGUCUAGUCGGCACCAAUGGGGGCACGUGGCAGACCCCACUCAGCGUUAAAAUCACGUGCUUGUCUCUGCUGAUGGGAAACCCACGUCAGCCCUGAAUUCUGUAUCCUCUGCCUUUCUGUGACUCUUGUCGUCUCUCUCUCCUCAUCGUCCUCAAAGCAAUAAUAUAAUUCAUAUUUAUUUUCUGCUAAUCCUUUUUUUUUUCCUUCAUUUUUUUGGUCUGUGUUUUCUGGAAAUUCUUAUGUCGUCACUGUGCUUUUGAUCUCUCUCGUCAAUGCAAUUUUCUUGAUUAAUUUAGCAAAUUAAACCACACUUUCUAUGAUUUAAGAAUCGUUUGAGAAUUGAGAGCUUUUUUUUCUUUAUUUUUUUUUUCCCAACUACCGUCCACUGAAAAUGUUUAUUUAUAUAAACAUUCAGGUGCGUACGUAACUGGUAUGGGGCCAUAUAUACGGUUAUCAUGUUAGCUGGACACACGUGUAUAGUCUUCUAUACAACAGUGAUAGAUCUUGUCAUCGAUGUACGUAUAUAGUAUGAAAAACCAAUUAAAACCUAACACGUAAAUAUUUGUAGUCAAGAGAAUAUUUAGUAAGACCUAAAAAUUUUAUAUUAAUAAUUAUUCGGUCUCCUCAAACGUAAUAAUUAUUCGGUUUCCUUUUCACUGGUCUUGUUUGGUGAGAUUCUCCUCUUGCUUUACUUUGUUCGUAUCAUCUUGGUGAUUGUGUAAGAUUUCCACACUAUCACUUUAGAUAGGUUAUCUUUUAUUUGCCUUGUUAUAUCUUGUAUUGGUUAUUGAAGGUUUUGUUCAUUAUGACUAUUAUCAUGAUCAGGAUUAGGUUUUAUGUCCCCAUUGAUAGAUUUUAUUUUCCUUCUUACCUUAUUGUCACUUCUUCUGAUAGCAUAGCUAGAAUGGAAUUAACUUUGGUUUAAAAAAAAAAAAAAAAAAGUAGAAAGAGUAAAAUGAGGUAUAGGAUUCACAUUAAACUCUAUCAACUGUAAGAAGAAAAACAAUGUUCGUAUAAUGGCAAAGUUUUUCGACCGUAUGUAUACAAGAACUAAGCAAGUUAAAAAACCCAACUCAUGCUACUGACUCUCUCUGUCCCUAAAACCCCUGACCCCUCCACGAAAAACCCUAGAUCUAGCAUCGUCCUCGCCACCGACCCCUUGUUCCAUCUUGGGGUCGGUGCAGCCCCUCCUUCUUCUUUCCCUGCACCCCCUUGGCCUAUCCUUCUGUAUUUUCAUAUACCAGCGCCUCCCCUUCUCCACCAAAUUUGGGGGUACCCAACCUUUGGCUUGGAUGGCGUUUUUGCUCCUUUUCGAGGUAUUAUCACCUUAAUUCGGAGCUAGGCACAGGUUCUCCUUUGCCUUGGCGUGUUGGGUUGUUGGUGGACCGGAUCCACCCUUCUAGUUUGUUUCCAUGGUGGUUCCCACGGCUGAGCCGUCGUACUUGGUCCGAUCUGUGGCGAUAACGUCGUUUUGGUCAGAUUUGCGGCUAACCCUCCUUGUUUGACCUGUAGUUACCGCGCGUCUGCCUUUAUUGUGACAAAUUUAUAUCAGUAGUUCUCAGUGGUUUUUGUUUUUAUGGUGGUCAUCUAGGGGUUCUACUCUUUUUAUGUCUGUGUAAAUUAUCUCCAGAUCAAACUAUCGAUCACUAGAGAAUUUACCUAUUUGAUACCUCUUAAUUGUAUUUGUUGAUCAAUGAAAUCUUAUACCUCUUAAUUGUAUUUGUUGAUCAAUGAAAUCUUACUAUCGUUUCUUCUUUUUUUUUUCUUUUAAAAAAAAAAAAAAAAAAAGCACUAGGGAAGUUUAAGAUUUUUGUACAUAUGAGGGAUUGCUUGCUAAAACCGGUUUUUUGAACCAAUAAUUCAAUACAUUAUUGUUGACGUGUAUAUGUGGGUAGCUAGAUUUACAUUGGGAGACAUAACAUCCAAGAUGUCUAACCAAAAAAAGAAAAAAACCUCUCAGCUAGUCUUCCUCAAAACCAAACUGUUGUCAACUUGUCAACCACAUCGUAGCAAUGCACAAAAUAACACUUACUUUGAAAUAUUUUUCGAACGAACUUACUUUUAAAUGUUGAAUACAGAUAAAAGAGGAUUAAAAUAUUGAAGAAACAAAAUAAAGAAUUAUUUGGGCUAAAACGUGUAUAUACACGUGGAUAAACCUGUCAUAGUUAACACCAACUUAAGUUGAGGUUAUUGGCAGAUACGAGAGUAUUAGUUAAACGGCAGCAGCUCCAUGCAUUAGUGGUGAGUUGGUAGUUGCCCCUUGAUGGGCACAGAAGCACCCCACCACGAUAGAGAUCAAUUAGAAUGCUCUUUGAACUGUGUCUGGUUUGAGGAGCCCCCUAAUAUCCUUUUAGAUGUUCUGUUAGCGGAUAAUAGGUUGUAAGUGUGCUGGUGCGCUUUUCUCACGGCUUUUGUAUUGUUUAUGUUUUGCCCUUCUGUGAUCAAUAUAUGCUGCAGCUUUCCAAAAAAAAAAAAAAGAGGAAAAAAAAAAGCUCUUUGAACUACUUGAAGCAAUGUGCAAAAUCUAUUGCAUGUUUAAGCUUAAUUAGGUGUUUAUCUUGAAUAACUGUAUAUAUAAACCAUAUAAAUGUGGGAAAGGAAAAAAGAGCAAAGGUUACAUAUAUAUCACCGCCUACUUUAUGUGAAGGAAGAAAGAUGCAAAAUUACAAACACAUUUGAACUUUUACAUAGUCAACAAAAUUAAACUUUUGUGGCUGGCAAACAUCAUAAGCCAAUUGAAAUUAUGAGAGAGAGACCAAUUCAAUCCAAUUAACUUUGUGAGAUUUGGUCAAACUUGGAAAAUUCAAGGGCAACAUAGUUACUAUGCUUGAGAGUGACAUUGGAUCCCUUUGUUAAUUUCAAGCUUUUUUUUUUCUUUUUUUUUUUUUUUUUUUUUUUUUUUUUUUUUUUUUUUUGCAAUUUGAUGUGUUGUCUAAAGGAGCAAUAUUACAUUAUGACUCUAGACAUUUCAUGCAUAAUGCAUGCAACUAAAUAAUUAACUUAAUUAGUAACUUAAUUAGUAACUACUACUACAACAACAACAAAGUUUUAUUUUACUAAGUCGGGUUGGUAGU
rnacentral:lncRNA from 1 species